GCUAGAUUGGAAUAAGCGCUUUAGCAUAAUCGAAGGAAUCGCUCAAGGAUUACUAUAUCUUCACAAGUACUCAAGACUCAGAAUUAUACAUAGAGAUUUGAAGCCUAGUAACAUACUCCUUGAUGAAAGCAUGAACCCCAAAAUAUCUGAUUUCGGUGUAGCAAGAAUGUUUAUGAAACAGGAAUCUGAGGCAAAUACCGACAGAAUUGUUGGGACAUAGUGAGUUUCCUAUGUUUGUUUAACCUUUAAAUUCUGAAAAUUAAAUUAAUCUUUUUAUAUGAUGAACAUAUUUUAUUUCCUGUAGUGGUUACAUGUCUCCUGAGUAUGCGAUGGAAGGAAUUUUUUCUACGAAGUCUGAUGUGUAUAGCUUUGGGGUGUUACUCCUUGAAAUUAUUAGCGGUAGAAAAAAUAAUAGCUUUUAUUGUGAAGACAACCCACUAAAUCUAGUAGGUCAUGUAUGUGAAACUCUUCUCUUGACUCUUUCUCAGCAUAUAAAUUUUCUUGUGUUGUUUGAGUUCUUUUAAUAUGAAAAUUAAUAAUUGAUCGUAUAGGUUUGGGAGCUAUGGAAAGAAGGUGAAGUUCUUCGGUUGGUCGAUUCAGCUCUAAAUGAUUUUUUUUCUCAGGAAGAGGUGCUAAGAUGUGUUCAUGUUGGUUUAUUGUGCGUACAAGAACAUGCCGAUGAUCGCCCCAACAUGUCGAAUGUUAUAUCAAUGUUAACAAAUAAAAGUAGAGUGACUGUUUUUCCUAAGAAGCCGGCAUACUAUGGUAGAACAACCUUCGAGGAAGAAACGUGUUUUGAAGAAUUUACUGGGGAUUUUACAUAUAGUAAUUCUUGUUCCCAUUCACAAUUAAUACAGAUAGACGUAUGAAAGGAUAGGUCAUAUUGCUUAAUGUGGGCACUUGUUUAGCAAUCAUAUAUAGUAAAAGUAUUUUGGAACUUGUGUAGUCAAUUUUUGAAUUAAAGGCAUUCAUUAUUUCAAUAAUAUAUAAUAAAACUCCUCUAAACAUACUGUAUUAAUUAAAUAAGCUCAAGCAUGAUUGAGCCACAAUCAAGUUAGUGGAAGUUGAGCUAUUGUUCAAGUUAGGAAUUCUAAUUAUAGUUGUCAAUAGCACCCUAUAGCUCCAUAGUGGAGUAGAUGGCUGCCGCCCCAAACACGUUGAAGUGUGGCAGAUGGGAGUGGCGGCCAUCGUGGAAGCCAUCAUAUAGAGAAAAAGCGGCAGGAGAGCACUGUAGGUUAAAUUUGAGGGAUUUUAUUAUACUAGACUAGAGACUAGGUACUUCAAAUCAAGUUGCACAAAACUAAUUAGAACCAAGGGAAGUAAGAAUGAAGGCAUGAUAAUUUUACAAAAACAGAGGUAAACAAAGGUCAUGGGAAAAAAGAACAUGUAUUUCAGCGAAGAAAUUAAAGAAGAAAACGCAAUUGAUGGUUGCUGGAAGGCCAAAAUCGGCGUCAGAUUUGUGAAAAACAGCACCCAAUUUUGCCUGUCUUUUGGAGACUUUUGUCUCGAUAUUUUUCGGCGCCCAACUUGCUAAAAACAACGCCCGAUUUUGCGCAGCAACAGAAAAACAAAAACGUAUUUUUGGGCCUGGAUUUGUUCCACUAUUUUGAGGGAUGCUUUCACUAUAGAUAUAAACCUUGUAUCAUAUGAAAAGUGUGUGGAAAAACAGGGUUUAGAAGCUAACAAACAAAUUAGGGUUUAUAGAGAAAUCUCUUGGCAACAAACACUAGGGUUCUGAUUGCUUUGAUUCACCUUGAUUGAGGGAUGCUGUUUAUUUUUGCUUGAAUUAUAUUUUCACCCACUUGAUUUGAUUGCUUGGUUUAUUUGCUCCACACAUCAAAUUUAUUGGUGUGAUUUAGCAACGAAUUCACAACAAUUGGCGCCCACAGUGGGGCAAGGGUCAAAUCAAUAACCAGGUAUCAUGGGUUCGAAGUGGGAUAUUGAGAAGUUUAUCGGUAGUAACGACUUCGGGUUAUGGAAUGUAAAGAUGAGGGCAAUUUUAAUUCAACAUAAGUGUUUUGAAGAAUUGAAGGGCGAAAGAUGCCUACGCAUCUGACAGCUGCUGAGAAGACGAAAAUGAAUGAUAAAGUGGUCAGUGCCAUCAUUUUGUGUCUUGGAGAUAAGGAGUUGGGAGAGGUAUCAAGGGAGACUACUACUACUGUGUCUAUGUGGAAUAAACAUGAUUCAUCGUACAUGACCAAGUCCUUGGCACAUAGACAAUGUCUGAAACAACAACUCUACUUUUACUGAAUGGUGGCGUACUCAAAACCUAUAAUGGAGAAACUGACGGAGUUCAAUAAGAUUAUUGAUGAUUUGGAGAACAUAGAUGUGAAUCUGGAAGACGAGGAUAAAGCCUUACACCUACUGUGUGAAUUACCUAGGUCCUUUGAGAAUUUCAAGAAUACAAUGCUUUAUGGCAAAGAGGGCACUAUCACUUUGGAGGAAGUCCAAGCGGCUUUGAGAACCAAAAAGCUAACCAAAUUCAAGGAGUUGAAGGUUAAUGAUAGUGGAGAAGGCUUGAAUCUCUCAAGACGGAGUGAAAACAGAGGAAAUGGGAAAGGCAAAAAAUCCAAGUCAAAGCCUAGGUUGACGGGUGGUGGUGAUAAAACAAAGUACACAUGUUUUAUUUGUCACACUCCAGGUCACUUCAAGAAGGAUUGUCCUGAGAGAUAUGGCAAUGGAAGUGGUAGUUCAUCCGUUCAGAUAUGGCAAUGGAAGUGAAGAGGAAGGUUAUUAGAGUGCUGGAGCACUAACUGUGACAAGUUGGGAACCUGAAAAAAGGCUGGGUCGUGGACUCUGGGUGCUCUUAUCACAUCUUUCCGGGAAAGGAGUACUUUCAAACUUUAGAGCUGAAAGAAGGUGGAGUUGUUCGCCUUGGUAAUAAUAAAGCUUGCAAAAUUCAAGGUUUGGGCACCAUCCAUCUCAAAAUGUUUGAUGACCGUGAUUUCCUUUUGAAGAAUGUGAGGUAUAUUCCUAAACUUAAGAGAAAUUUAAUAUCUAUAAGCAUGUUUGAUGGUCUAGGUUAUUGUACUAGAAUUGAACGUGGUAUGAUGAGAAUUUAUCAUGAUGGAUUAGUAAUAGCUAAAGGGUCUAAAAUACAAGGUUUAUAUAUUUUAGAAGGUUCCAUUUUUAUAACUCAUACAACGGUUGCUAGUGUAGAUACUUUGGACAUAACUAAAUUGUGGUAUUUGAGGUUAGGUCAUGUCAGUGAGAAGGGUUUGGUUGAGCUAGCUAAACAAGGUUUGCUAGGGAAUGAAAAAUUGAACAAACUAUAAUUCUUUGAUAAUUACACGUUAGGAAAGUAACACCAUGUGAAGUUUGGGGUGGGUGUGCAUAAUUCUGGUAGGCUUUUUUAGUAUGUUCAUUCAGAUCUUUGGGGUCCAACAUCAGUUAAAACUCAUCGAGGAGGUUCAUAUUUCAUGUCUAUUAUUGAUGAUUAUUCUAGAAGGGUAUGGGUUUACAUUUAGAAAAAUAAAAGUGAUGCUUUUGAAAAAUUUAAAGAAUGGCAUAAACUUGUAGAAAAUCAUAUUGGAACUAAACUGAAAGUGUUAAGAUUUGACAAUGUCUUGGAGUUUUUUUCAGAGCAGUUUAACGCGUUUUGCAGAAAACGAGGUAUAAAGAGGCAUAGAACCGUGACAUACACACCUCAAAAGAAUGGUCUAGCUGAAAGAAUGAAUAAGACCUUGUUGGACCAUGUGAGGUGUAUGUUGUUGAGAACUGGAUUGUCCAAGAGUUUUUGGGGAGAAGCUGUUAGUACUGCAACAUAUUUGAUUAAAAGAUGUCCAUCAACAUGGAUAAAUCUCAAGACACCUAUGGAUGUUUGGAGUGGGAGACUGCCAGACUACUCUAACUUGAAAGUUUUCGGAGCUUUAGCAUUUGCACGUGUCAAACAUGACAAACUUGAUGCUAGAGUUGUGAAGUGUGUUUUUAUUGGUUAUCUUGAAGGUGUGAAAGGUUACAAGUUGUUGAAGAUAAAACAUGGAGGAUCAAAAUUUAUUAUAAGCAGGGAUGUUACUUUUGAUGAGACCCGUAUGAGUAUGAAGUGCAAAAACCUGGAAACAAGCUCAGAAACAUGAGUACAUAAAAUUCAGUUUAAGGUGGAGCCUACCACUGAUGAAAGGAAAUAGGAGGAUCAGACUCCAGUACCUGAUGAGAGUGACGGCCAAGAAAUAAUUAAUCCUGACUAUCAGCUAGCAAGAGAUAGGCAAAUGAGAUAAAUUAGUCCACCUAGAAGAUACGGUUAUGCUGACCUCAUAUGUUAUGGUUUGAAUGCAGCUGAAGAAGUGCAAGACUUGGAACCAAAGAACUUCAGAGAAGCAUUAGAAAGAAACGAAAGCAAGAAUUGGUUGAAGGCAAUUAAUGAGGAAAUACUUUCAUUGGAAAAGAACCAGACUUGGAAAAUUGUCACAUUACCUAAGAAACAAAUGUUAGUGGGAAGGAAGGGGUGCUUAAGAAGAAAGAAGGAAUAUCAGGGGUCGAAUCACCAAGGUAUAAGGCAAGACUUGUGGCUAAGGGUUUUACUCAGGUGGAAGGGAUCGAUUACAACAAAAUCUUUUCACCGAUGGUAAAACAUUCUUGUAUAAGGAUACUUAUGGCGUUUGUUAACAUGUAUGAUCUUAAGUUAAAAUAGAUGGAUGUGAAUACCGCAUUUCUACAUGGAGAGUUGGAAGAAAAUAUAUGUAUGGAACAACCAGAAGGUUUCAUAGAAGAUAAUUCAAAGGUAUGUAUGUUGAAGAAAUCUUUCUAUAGGUUGAAGCAAAGUCCAAGGCAGUGGUUUCUUCGGUUUGAUGAGUUCUUAAUAAAGGUUGGUUUUGUGAGAAGCAACUAUGAUAGUUAUGUGUACAUGAUGAGAAGGAAUCAGAAAGUCAUUAUCCACAUUCUCCUUUAUGUUUUUUUUUAAGAAGGUAAAUUAGCCCACUUAAAAUGACACUGGAGAGAAUCGAACCUAUGACAUCGAGGAGGAGCAUACUCCCAAGUCCCAAGCCAAUACCACCAUGAUACCUUCUCCUUUAUGUACAUGAUAUUCUUAUGGCAAGUUAUGACAGAUAAAAUAUUCAAAAUCUCAAGAAGAAAUUAAAUCAUGAAUUUGAGAUGAAGGAUCUUGGUGGUGCAAAGAGGAUACUUGGUAUGGAUAUCAUGAGGGACCAAAACAAAGGUGAGUUGUUCUUAUCUAAGCAGGGGUACUUGAGGAAGUGGAUGAGUGGUUCAGAAUGAAAGAUUCUAAGGUCGUUGGCACUCCUCUUGGUCAUCACACAAAGUUGUCAAUAAAGUAGUGUCCUCAAUUCGAUGAAGAGAAAAGAAAGAUGGAAGGUACUCCCUAUCCAAGUAAUUUUGGAAGCAUCAUGUAUGUUAUGGUUUGUAGUAGACUGAGCUUAUACUUUGCAAUAAGUGUGAUAAUUCGAGUUAUGGCAAAUAUGGGUCAAUUGCUCUAGCAAGCUUUAAAGUGUGUUCUGAGAUAUUUAAAUGGAACUUUGAAAGGUGGUGUGAAGUAUACAAGGUCACAACCAAGAAGCGAUGUUUUGGAGGGAUAUGUGGAUGUGGACUAUGCAGGUAAAGUAGACACUAGAAAAUCUUUGUCAGGAUUUGUAUUUACAUUGUUCGGUACAAUAGUAACUUGGAAGGAAAAUCAACAAUAUGUUGUAGCUCUUUCAACAACUCAAGUUGAGUACAUUGCCCUUGUUGAAGAGAGCAAGGAAGCCAUAUGGCUUAAAGGUAUGAUUGGAGAAAUGGAGAUUAGUCAAGGGUGUGUGAAGAUACAUUGUGAUAGCCAGAGUUCCAUCCAUUUGGCAAAUCAUCAGGUAUAUCAUGAAAAAAUAAAACACAUUGACAUAUGAUUGCACUUUGUUAGAGACAUGAUAGAAACAAAGGAGAUCAUGGUUGAGAAAGUGGCAUCAAAAGAAAAUACAACAGACAUGUUCAUCAAAUCAUUGCCAAGAUCAAGGUUCAAGCAUUGCUUGUACUUGAUCAACUUCAUUGAAGAGUAAAUGAAGGAUUGGAGAGAGCAGCAAAGUGAUUGAUGGUUAAAUUGGUAUCAUCGCCAAUUUAGAGUCAAGGUGGAGAAAUGUUGAAAGCGACUAAAAAAUUGAUGGUUGCUGGAACUCCAAAAUCGGCGCCCAAUUUGGGAAAAAUGGUGCCCGAUUUUGGUUGUGUUUUGGAGACUUCUGUCUCAACAUUUUUUGGUGCUCGGUUUGCUAAAAACGGCACCCGAUCUUGCGCAACAACAGAAAAACAUAAAUGUAUUUUCGGGCCUAGAUUUGUUCCACUUUUUUUAAGGAUGCUUUCACUAUAAAUAUAAAUCUUGUAUCAGAUGAAAAGUGUGAGGAAAAACAGGGUUUAAAAGCCAACACACAAACUAGGGUUUACAGAGAAUUCUCUUUACAACAAACACUAGGUUUGUGAUUGUUUGGAUUCACCUUGAACAAAACACUAUUAGGAUAUAGUCUCUUGGUCACGGGAAGAGAUUCGGGACUUGGGUAAAAUUAGGUUUGAAGACUAAUUCUUGUAAUUCUCUGAUAUCUCUUUGUAAAAGAAACCCAUCGUUAUAUUGGAACAGAGAGCUACUAUCUCCCCCUAGAGUAGGUUAAUAUUGGCCCGAAGUGGAUAAACAAAUUCUUUGUGUUCUCCUUCUUCCUUUAUCUUUUGCUAUUUAUAUUACUAGAAUUAUAUUGUCACUCACUUGAUUUGAUUUCUUGGUUUAUUUGCUCCACACAUCAAAUUUUCUUGGUGUGAUUUUGCAACGAAUUCACACCAAGAAAUCAAAUCACACAAUGCAAUUAAAGAAGCAAAUAAACCAAGAAAAUUGAUAUACAGUGACCAAAGUUAAAGAAGCAAAUAAACCACACAUCAAAUUUUCUUGGUGUACUUUUGGUCAAUGUAUAUCAAUUAAAGAAGCAUCAAUGCAACUGAAACUCUGUUAUCACCUUAGACACUACCAAAAGUAAAUAGACGAGAUCAACGAACAAUCUAACACGUUAUCAGACAAUGCAAUUACUCGCUUGAGUUUGAAAAAUAUAGUGCCUUCCUAGCUUGUGUUCAAUUUCAAUUUUUAUUUGGAAGAUAUAGUGGAAGGAACGAAAACCCGUAACUGCAAUAAUUUUGUUAUUACUUGUUCUGUUUUAUUAACUAUAAUCCAUAUAUCAUGGUUACACUUUUUGACCUUGAACGGUGAAACAUUCAUAGGAAGUUGCCUUUCCUAUUUUCUCAUAAUCAGAAAACAUAAGUUUGUUUAAUAAUCGAAUUGUCUAUAAAUAAGGGGAAACUAGCAUAAACUGUAGUCGCCCUAGGAAGACUAUGAUCAACUUCAUUGGGUUGUCUCUUAAUAAACUCCACCUUCGAGUUUGUAAAAAAUGACGAGAGCGUGUUUCUAAAUAAUCUGAUAAUAGCUCAAAGAUCUGAUUCAUCUCUUCUAUUGUUGCUGGAACAUUGAUGUGAUGUUGGAUGAAAAAUUGGAAGACUAAACACCAAGUAAUUAAUUAUACUUUGAUCUAAUGUUGUGUGAAUUGAAAAAAUAGAGUGUGGAGGUGCCACAUAAAAUAGAACACACACAUUAAUAGUGUUUAAAUUGCGGUAUUUAAUUUUAAAUACUUGAUAAUGAUGAUAAAAAUAAUAGUAAUUAUUAUUUUUAUUCGAGAAUAUCACUUCCCAUAUAUUUAGCUUAUAGUAGUUGUGAUAAGAAUAAGAAUUUAAUUGAAUUUCUUAUAUUUCCUUGAUUCCAAUCCAAUAGUUUCUUUUGAUCUUAUCCACAAGUGUUGUUGAACUGAUUAAUGGAUAAACUCCAUUUUAAUCUUAUUCAUUAGAGUAAUUGCUGUCGCAAUUUUUGCUAAAACAGUUACAGAAUCUCUAUAUAAAAAGAGGACUCCACUUAGUUCAAAAACACACCAAAGAAUUUCAUUGAGUUGUCGGGAACUCUUUCUCUCUUCUCCCUUUCUUGACUUGUGUUGACGAGCCUUUCUUUUCUUCUUCUCCUUUUCUGUCCCUUCGGAAUUAAGAGUGUUCUUAAGACCAUAGUCCCUUUUCGGUUUAAUGUCCCUUCGGAAUUAAGAAUGGUCUUUAAAACAUAGUCCCUUUGAUAAUAUAUGUCCCUUCAGAAUAAAGAGUACUUUUAAGAUCAUAGUCCCUAUUUGGAAUAACAAUGUUCCGUCGGAAUUAAGAAUGAUCUUAACGGUAUAUAUAAAAAGUAUUUCAAUAUUUUUCUAUUUAAGGAGAAACAGUGGUAUCACUAUAUUUGAGUGGUCGUAGUACCAAAUUGAUAGUUUGGAGAACUUAAAGUUAGAAUGGUGUUAACACCAUAUUUGAGUGGUCUCAGCACCAUAACAGAGUGGUAACAAUACCAUAUUAAAGUGAUUUCAGUAUUAAAGAGUGGUCUUAGUACCAUAUCGAACGUGUAAAUCUCGAACGGUUUUCUACAGAGUGCAGUAGUUAACUGCACAGUUGUAGCUGGGCUUGUUUUAUCUGGAGGCGGCGUGGUUGAUAACGUCUUAAAGAGAGCGACCUGGUCGUGACUCAAUCAUAAUCCAAAUACAACAGUUUGGAAAUACAAAAACAACAAUUGUUAUGGUAGCUAUCAACCACUUUUAUCAAAGAUCUGAUUCAUCUCUUCAAACAUUCAAUCUCUAAGUGUGUAUUUGGAAUAGGUUUUGCUCACAAAGACCAACCUUUAAACAUGAUAAAAGAACGAAGCCGAAGAAAAAUAACAUCAGAAAUUGGAUUCACAUAGGUUAAUAUCUCUUUGAGCCAUCUAAGAGCAUAGAGCAACCUUAAAGCUUUACCAAUCCAACUGAGUUCACCUUCUAUUUGAUUUAAUAUCAUAUAUAUUAUUAUAAGCUGUAAAGAGUUUCUAAAUUUUUAUUAACCAAUUCAGUUUCAAAAGUUUGAUUCGAUUCGAUUUUUUGUUUUUACAGCCUUAUAUAUGGUGGUAAUGCUAGGCUCUAGAGAGCUCCAAGAAAGUGAAGAUGGAGGGUAUUGAUAUAUGGAAUUGUAUACUUGCUUUAAUGUGUGGCCUUUAAGGGUGCGUUAGGGCGGGGUAUGUAGCAAUGAUACCAAGUACCACAAGAAUUAUAGGGGACACAUUCAUUUUGUAGUGGUUCAAUAAUUAUUUACUGCUCAUCUGUUGCUUUCAGGUAGUACGUAAAUAGAACUUUUUGUCUCUUAAAAUGAAAGUUCUGACAUGAAAAUGUACACCCACCAAUCAAAUAAUUUAGUACGGAAGAAAAUUAAAUAAUUACAUGAUAUUUUUGUUAAAAAAUUUAUAUUUAAAUUGUCUUAGAUGGAAUGUGAACUAGUAUGCUCUACUUUAGAGUGUCAUUCCAUUCCCAUCUUCAUCUGAAUUUCAAAAUAUAGUUCCCACAUUUGAAGAUCAAUCAUGGUACUUUGUAGUGCACAAGAGAAACUUCAAGCUUUGCUUCUCUUCACAUACUUCUGCCUGUGGUGGUGCACUACUAUUUCUACCUAUGUCAAAGCAGAAAAUACUGAUAGUAUGAAGCCAGGAGAUAUACUGAAUGCCAGUGCCACAUCUACGUUGUGUUCUAAACAAGGUAGAUAUUGCAUGAAUUUUAACCGAAAUCCGGAUCCUGAAAACCUCACUUAUCUCAGCAUAUUUGGCAAAGGGAAAGAUGAUUGGUUAGUGUGGAUUUCUAACAGAAACCAACCUGUUGACAUUAAUUCAGCAAAUCUAUCACUAAACUACUCUGGUGUGCUAAAAAUAGAAUCCAAAAUUGGAAAACCAAUAAUCAUGUAUGCUUCACCACCACCUUUUAACAAUAGAAAUUAUAUCGUUGCCACGUUGUUGGAUACAGGUAACUUUGUGUUGAAAGAUAUUCAGAAGAACAUUGUAUUGUGGCAAAGUUUUGAUCAUCCAACCGAAAGUUUACUCCCUGGAAUGAAAUUAGGUGUGAAUCAUAAAACUGGUGAAAACUGGUCACUGGUUUCAAGAAUUAGUGAUACAAUUCUGACUCCUGGUCCAUUCAGACUUGAAUGGGAAGCCACAAGAAAAGAAUUGGUUAUCAAGCGUAGAGAAAAAGUUUAUUGGACAAGUGGAAAACUGAUGAAAAACAAUAGAUUUGAGAAUAUACCUGGAGAAGAUUUGAAGGUCAAAGUUGUGUCUGAUGAGUACUUCGCAUACACAGCUCAAAAUGAAAACGGUCUUACCAAAUGGACUCUAUUACAAACUGGGCAACUGAUAAACAGAGAAGGAGGUGAGUUUGGUGACAUAGCAAGGGCUGAUAUGUGUUAUGGGUAUAACACUAACGGAGGGUGCCAAAAAUGGGGUGAAGCCAAGAUACCUGCUUGCAGGAAUCCUGGUGAUAAGUUUGAUAACAAGCACGUUUACAGUAAUGACAAUAUCGUAAACAAUAUAGAAAAUGCUAGUUAUGGCAUAAGUGAUUGCCAAGAAAUGUGCUGGACUAACUGCAGCUGUUUUGGAUUCAAUAACUACUAUGGAAAUGGAACUGGUUGUGUCUUCUUGGUAUCAACUGAAGGUCUUAACAUUGCAAGCAGUGGUGACGACGUCUUUUACAUUUUGAUUAAGAACGCUGAUCACAAAGGUAUGUAUAACUCUAACUACUAUAUUGCAAAUAUUAUUUUUCCAAAAUGACUGACUGGAAGCAGGCCUAGCACAAGAGAAAGUAAAUUUUUUUUAAAAUUAGCUUCAGUUAUUGUAUUUGACCACAAGAACAUUUUUUCAUAUUUGUAUAAGAAGAGAAAAGCAAGUAAUUCGUUGAAAUAUAUAACUCAAAUCAGUUUCUUGUUAUAGUAUUUAACAAGGGGAUAUGGAUUUGCGCUGGAAUGGGGACUCUUAUGCUAAUUAUCGGUCUUUCCAUUCUGCUCCGAGCUUUAAUGAAACGAAAACAAGUGCUUCGAGGUAUUUAAGUUUUAUCAAAUAUUAUAUUUAGUACCCAGUUAUAACAAUCCCUUAAUAUUUCAUUUCUCACCUUUAUAUAAACAGAGGAGGAAAGAAUAAGAAUGCAGAUUCAGAUUCAAGAUCUUGAAACUUCUAGACGAUAUUGUGAUGGCGACGAUCUAAAAGGAGAUUUGAGCAACGGCGAUGACUUAAAAGUGUUUAGCUAUUCAUCAAUAAUUGUGGCUACCAAUGGCUUUUCUUCUGAAAACAAGUUAGGACAAGGUGGCUUUGGACCUGUUUUCAAGGUGACCCUUUUUUAGGUUUAUUGAGAUAUCAUAACUGCACCAUGAAAUAGUUCAGAUUAUGGAUUCAUACAUUUUAUUAAUAAUGUUUUUAUAUUCAAUUCAGGGAAUUCUACCUUCAGGGCAAGAAGUAGCUGUGAAGAAACUUUCACAAACUUCUGGACAAGGAAUUAUUGAAUUUAAAAAUGAAUUAACACUCAUUUGUAAGCUUCAGCAUACAAAUCUUGUUCGGCUAAUCGGACAUUGCAUUCAUGAACAAGAGCGGAUAUUGAUCUAUGAGUAUAUGCCCAACAAAAGCUUGGACUUCUUUUUAUUUGGUGAGAUAUGUUAAUUGCGACAAUCUCUUAAGGUUGUUUAUGGAAUAUUUGUGUCUGUCUAAAGAAUAAUCAGGGAUGUCAACUGUUUCCUUAAUAUAUUCUAUAUUAUGAUAAAUCCUUCAUUUCAGCAGUAAAAACAGAUAAUUGAUAUAUUAAGAAGAGAAAUUCAAGUUUCUUGAUGUAGAGAAUUAAAAGUUAUUGAUAUAUAUACCUUCUCAUGACAUCUAUUUUGUCUUUCUAACAUAUUUAUGGUUGUUUACUAUUUAAUAUAAUACACCUUCACAUGACAUUAUAUUUCUUUCUUUUUGUGUGUGAGAAGAUUCCACUAGAAGAAAGUUGUUAGAUUGGAACAAACGCUUUACCAUAAUAGAAGGAAUUGCCCAAGGACUACUAUACCUUCACAAAUACUCAAGACUCUGAAUUAUCCACCGAGAUUUGAAGGCUAGUAAUAUUCUCCUUGAUGAAAAUAUGAACCCCAAAAUUUCUGAUUUUGGUGUGGCAAGAAUGUUCACAAAACAAGAAACCGAAGCAAAUACCAACAUAAUUGUUGGGACAUAGUGAGUUUUUCAUGUUCUCUUUUGCAUCUAAAUUCUACUGAGAAUUGUGUAAACAUAAUCUAUUUUGUAAUAUCAAUAAUAUUUUUUGUUUCAUACAGUGGUUACAUGUCUCCAGAGUAUGCGAUGGAAGGAGUAUUUUCUACAAAGUCUGAUGUGUAUAGCUUUGGAGUCUUGCUCCUUGAAAUUGUUAGUGGUGAAAAAUGCAAUAGCAUGUACCGUGAAGACAGACCACUUAAUCUAGUUGGACAUGUACUUGAUAAUUUCGCUCUCUACUUCCUUUAUGAAUUUUAUGCAUGUUGAUUUAGUUUUGACCUGAAAAGUAACCAUUGAUGUCAUAGGCAUGGGAGCUAUGGAAAGAAGGUGUAGUUCUUCAGUUGGUGGAUCCAUUACUAAAUGAGACGUUUUCUGAGGAUGAGGUGCUGAGAUGUGUUCAUGCUGGUUUAUUAUGCGCAGAAGAAAAUGCAGAUGAUCGCCCCACCAUGUCCAAUGUUAUAUCAAUAUUAACAAACAAAAUUAAAGUCGAUGUUUUUCCUAAGAAACCAGCAUACUAUGGUGGAACAAGAGUUUUUGAUGAAGAAACGUAUGGCGAAGAAGUGGGUGUGGAUUCCACGUGUGAAAACUCUCACUUGUAGAAAACAUAGAAAUAUCCAGUGAAGUGAUUACUAAAUUUAUCAAAUAAACAUUGCGCUAUUGGUGUACCAAUACAUGGUGUGCUAUUGAAUGUAUUUGAGAUAUUACUGGUUUUGAAUUUUGUCUGCACAAUUUAUCAUUUACUAUUUAGAUGUCGAUGUAAUUUCUACAAUGAUAUGCAAGAGAUGAAUCAGAAAUAUGAAGAUUUUGAUAGAGAAAUAACUUGUUGAGAUGAUGAAAUUUAUAGUGUCUUGUUGUUAAAGUGACUCAAAAUUGGGUUUAGAAAUCAAACGAUGGUUUGUAUAGAGUUUGCUCUUGGCAACAAACACUAGGGUUGGGUUGAUUCACCUUGGGAAACACUGUUAGGAUUGAAUCUUUUGGUCACGGGAAGAGAUUGGGACUUUGGGUAGAAUUAGGCGGGAGACUUAUUCUUGUAACCCAUUGAUAUCUCUUUUGUAAAGUUACUCAUCAUUAUAGUGAAACGGAGGGUUUCUCUCUCCCUCAGAUUAGGUCAAUUUGGACUGAACUGGGUCAACAAAUUCUUUUGUAUUCUCUCUUCUUUUCUCUCGUUGUUUUCUACUUUCGUUUGUGAUUAUAACUUUCAUACACUUUGUUUUGGUUGUUUGACUAUCCCUUGCUCCACACAUCAAGUUUGUUAUUGAUGUGAUUUUUCAUCGAAUUCACAACAAUGAUUUGCUUCGUCCUCCUCUUGUUGUGACAUUAAUGUCUUUGGUGAUGAUUUGACAUAUAAGUUCUCCUAUGCUUUUCUUGAACUGCUGAUCAUUUGAACUUUUUGCAAACACUAGAAUCGUUUUUAGAAAUCGGUGUUAACAAAAAACUCUAAGUUACUUUGACAAAAGGUCGUGAAUGUAUUGACUGGUUGGCUAAGUUUGGUGCUAAAAAUGUUAAUUCCUUGAAGAUGUGGAUGUCUCUUCCUCCUUAGCUAAAUAUCACUCUGCUUGGAGAUACUUCUGGGGUCUUUAGACAGUGAAUUGCUUAGUUUUUUUUAUUGUUUUCCCUUGACAUUAAAAAAAUAAAAUACUCUUAAGUUGUAAAACACUCUUUUAAAGGAUGCCACAUUUGAACAAAUUUAUGCAUAAAUAAGUCUAAUCUAUUUACUAUCUAUUAAAUAAUAAUCCUGCAAAUUUUUCCAUUUUGCCCUUACGAAGGGCAUUUUAAUAAUCUCCUAAUUGUUGAGGGUGGUUGAGUGCCACCUCAUUAUUGUAUUUAAGAAGGGCUUUUGAUUCCUAGACCUGAGACUGAACUUACUGUUGAUUUGGUUUGUGAUGUUGCUUCAAAGAAUGAGGAUUUGAAAAGAGGGGUUUGGGCUGAUUUAGGGUCUGGAAGUGGUGCUCUUGCUAUUGGCAUUGGUAGGGUUUUAGGAGAUCGUGGAAAGGUUAUUGCGUCCGAUUUAAGUCAUGUGGCUGUUGCUGUUGCGGUUGCAAUGUGCAGAGGUAUUGCUUGCAGGUUAGAAAUUCAAGCCUUUUCAACCUCCAUGAGUUAUAUUCUUUUUUGUUGUUAAGUCAGAAUUAUGCAAGUCAAUUUUAUUCCUGCAAACAUGGCAGUGUGGUGAAAAAAACGUAGAUUGUCACGUCUUUUUAUUAACGCGUCACUAAAUGUUGUCUAACAUCUGAACUUAACAAAGGGACCAAUUUGAUUGAUGUGUUACAUUUUCAGGAACGAAGCUAAUUUGUAGAAGUCAAGGACAAAUUUGAUCAAUGUAUACAAUUUUAGGGAUAAAAUCGCCUAAAGUUUACUAUAUUUGCUUAAUUUUUAUAAAAUCUUCGGUUAUAGACAUACUGAAACUGGUAAAGACAAAUUUCCAACUGCCAUAUGAAUUAAAUUGCUUUUAUCCAAUUUCACGGUCCAUGUUUUUGUUAAUUUUGCUUAUGCUUUUCAUAUCAUGUUGUGUGAUAGUUUUGUUCAGGAAAAUUUAGAAGAGAAGUAUGUUCAUUUAAAAUCAGGAAAAUAAAGUAAUUUAAAAUUGUUUAUUUAUCCGAUGAAGACUGUGAUGAAUCUUCUGACGAAGAAGAUAAGGUAUUGGACAUUUUAAAGUUAAUUGCACGAUCAAUCUUAAUUUAUACUUCCUCUGUCCUAAAUUAUAAGUAAAAAAAAAAAAAAGUCCUAAAUUAUAAGUAAAAAAAAAAUCACACUUAUUAAAAAAAAACUAAAAUAUAAGAAAUUGGAGUAUAGUUUAUUGUGUUUUCUUUGAAAAAAGUUUUAUAGGAAUAAGUAAAAACAAUUUUCAUUUGCUAUUGGUUAUGGAAAAAAUGAAAGAGAGAGAGAAAAUUGAAUGUAAUUUGCAUUUAAUUUUAUGAGAAUAAACAAAAAAAAAAUCUGAAAAAAGACAAAAAUUUGUAUUUUUUGCUUAUAUUUUGGGACAAAGAAAAUAUGUUUUUUUUUCUUAUAUUAUGGGACGGAGGGAGUAUUACUGUAUUGAUAACUUCUUUAUUUUGUUUUUUAAAAUGCCCAUUGAAUAUUUUUUUUUUCCUUGGCUCAGAAACCUGCAGCAAAAGCUGCUAUUGCAAAAAAGAGUAAGAAAGAUAGCUCAGAUUCUGACGAUGAAGAUGAUGAUAACAGCUCUGAAGAAGAGAAGAAACAUGUGGCUGCUAAGAAAGAGGUUAGUGAAUCGGAGAGUGAUUCGUCUACGACGAGGUAUUGAAGUUUCUGUAUUUUAUAACUACAAAUGUAGUAGCAUGUAGGUCCUCACAAAAAAAAAAUGUAGUAGCAUGUACCUAUAUUGGAAUGAAAUAUAAACAUGGUAAUAUGGUAUUUAUUUUUUCUGAUCAAUGCUUUAAUUUUCAUUGUGUUGUGGUAGAAUCAUAUAGCAUCAUAAAAUAUAAUUGGUGUGAUUAGAAUGGGAAUAAAUCAGGGUCAAGAAAAGCAUCAUAAAAUAUAAUUGGUGUGAUUAGAAUGAGAAUAAAUCAGGGUCCUCUAUAAUGCCCUUUAGUGUAAUGUGUUAAUCAGGUUUCAUGGUAUUUUUACUUUCUAAAGUAAAUUAUCUUCCGUCGUUUUAACAUCUAUCCUUUCGACGCAAAAUUUUAUCGAAUACAUUGCUGAUAAUAAAGAUUUUAAAAUGUUGUACCAUUAAUUGUCAGUGAAAAUUUCAAUUAAAUGCAUCUAUUGUAGAUAUAAAAUUGAUCCUCUAUGCUAUUCAUUUCAGGAAAGAGUUGAGGUGAAACCUGAUUUCUUUUUAUAAGUUGUUUUCAAGAUUUCAUCUGAUUUUCCUAUAUGAUGUGAUCUCAGUAGCUUUAACCGAAAUAUUUAACUUUGUAGGCAUGUGAUUAAGCUUUUUAACUAUUAAUUUGUGCAUAUAAACAUUGAUCAUCUGAGUGUGUGGUUCUUCUAAACAAACCUGAUUAUGAUUCUAAAUAUUAAAUUUGAAAGUGGAUUUCUUUGUUAUCUUUUUGUAGAGUCUAUUUAUUUUCUUGAUCCAAGCCAGAAAAAAAUAAACAACGUACUUGCCUUUUUGUAAUAUUUCUUUCCAAAAGUAAUAACCAAUUGUAAUAUUUGUUUGAUGGAGUUGUUUCUUAGUUUCUAAUAAGUACUCAAAACUUGCUCUAUGCAAUGAAAAAUGUAUGCACUUUUCUUAUGAACAACACUUCGCAACUCACUUGCCACCUUGCUGAUAAUUUUGUAUAUAAAUAGUGUUUAUCCAAUUGUAAUUUUAGUGAAUUUUGGUUUACCUUCGCUAAUUUUGUUUUUCUAAAUUUCAAGCGUUGUAAUCUAAAUGCUCUUCAUCUUUUAAACCUUCAUGACAUAAAAUUUCAAAAUUUAAGGAAUUUUUGCCCUCUAAUUUGAACAAAUUUUAGGUUAUCCCCUACCAUAUAAUCUAUUUUGUAUAGUCAAAUUUCAAUUUCGUACGGUCAAAUUUUACGAAGGUCUAAAAACAAAUAAUCUAUAAAUUACAAGACUGAAAUCUAAUAUAUAUUAAAGGAUAAACCAAAACACGCUCAAAUUAUGAGGAAAAAAAACACUAUAUUUAACCCUUGUAAUUUUAAGAUACUAUCAAGAUAUGUAACUUAUACUUCAAAGAAUUUAUACCACAGUAUUUUAUAGUAUUUGAAAUUACUUUAUGGAUUUAUAGAUUUCAAGAUAUUAUUAACAAUCAAUAUUAGCAAGGAUGGCAAUUGGACCCAGGCUUGAUGGACACCCGCAAAAAAUACCUGCAAUGGAUAGGUAAAAUUCCACUUUGAUGGGUAUGGGCUUGGAUCCGGGUAAGGGCACUAUACUACUCAACCUCGCAACCUGCAUAUACAUCUUCUUAUAUAUUAAAGUUAACAAGUAAGCCCUAAUUUUAACCUAAAUCCUAUUGCAUAAUUUUACUGUUUUAACCCUAAUGUUCACACCUAAUCUCCUAUUUUCAUGAACAAUCUUCUUAUAUAUUAAAGUUAACAUGUAAGCCCUAAUUUUAACCUAAACCCUAUUGCAUAAUUUUACUNNNNNNNNNNNNNNNNNNNNNNNNNNNNNNNNNNNNNNNNNNNNNNNNNNNNNNNNNNNNNNNNNNNNNNNNNNNNNNNNNNNNNNNNNNNNNNNNNNNNNNNNNNNNNNNNNNNNNNNNNNNNNNNNNNNNNNNNNNNNNNNNNNNNNNNNNNNNNNNNNNNNNNNNNNNNNNNNNNNNNNNNNNNNNNNNNNNNNNNNNNNNNNNNNNNNNNNNNNNNNNNNNNNNNNNNNNNNNNNNNNNNNNNNNNNNNNNNNNNNNNNNNNNNNNNNNNNNNNNNNNNNNNNNNNNNNNNNNNNNNNNNNNNNNNNNNNNNNNNNNNNNNNNNNNNNNNNNNNNNNNNNNNNNNNNNNNNNNNNNNNNNNNNNNNNNNNNNNNNNNNNNNNNNNNNNNNNNNNNNNNNNNNNNNNNNNNNNNNNNNNNNNNNNNNNNNNNNNNNNNNNNNNNNNNNNNNNNNNNNNNNNNNNNNNNNNNNNNNNNNNNNNNNNNNNNNNNNNNNNNNNNNNNNNNNNNNNNNNNNNNNNNNNNNNNNNNNNNNNNNNNNNNNNNNNNNNNNNNNNNNNNNNNNNNNNNNNNNNNNNNNNNNNNNNNNNNNNNNNNNNNNNNNNNNNNNNNNNNNNNNNNNNNNNNNNNNNNNNNNNNNNNNNNNNNNNNNNNNNNNNNNNNNNNNNNNNNNNNNNNNNNNNNNNNNNNNNNNNNNNNNNNNNNNNNNNNNNNNNNNNNNNNNNNNNNNNNNNNNNNNNNNNNNNNNNNNNNNNNNNNNNNNNNNNNNNNNNNNNNNNNNNNNNNNNNNNNNNNNNNNNNNNNNNNNNNNNNNNNNNNNNNNNNNNNNNNNNNNNNNNNNNNNNNNNNNNNNNNNNNNNNNNNNNNNNNNNNNNNNNNNNNNNNNNNNNNNNNNNNNNNAAAAAAAAAAGAAAAAUAUGAAGUAACAUACCAAUAAUAUAAUAUUGACAUAUAAUUUUAACAAAAGAAUGAAGUAACACACGAUUGAUAAAAAUUAAUAUUUUUUUGGUGAAUAAGCGUGGUGUCUGAGGUUCGAAUUCCAACAUCUGCAUAUAUUUGGGACCACAUAUUUCAUUCUCUUUGAUAUGCAUUGAGAUUUGUUUUUGUCUACUAUAUCUACAAUGUAUAUGACCCGUGCGGCAGCACGGGUGGAAAGUCUAGUAUUUAUAUAAUAUAAUAAACAUUUUUUUGUUGUACAAUUAUUUAAUUUCUUUAGUUCUUUAAACAUAAACCUAAAACUAAAAACUAAUACAAUAAUUGUUUCACCCUUACCUUCAUAAGUUCACGAACCACAAAUUUAUGAUUUAAAUCAAUUUGAUGUUUAUUUUAGCAUGCACUUUUUUGUAUGUAUUUUGAAUGUUUUUAUUUUAAUUUUCGAGGAAUAUUUUAGAUGUUUUUUUAUUUGGCUAAAUACCACGAUUUCUACUAUUUCUACUAUUUUAUUAGUUGCUUUGAAAAAAUAGGAUAGUAGUUUUAUUUUAAUUGUGAUGUUUUUUAUUGUCUUUUUAUAAUUAAAAUGCGGGUAAUGGGUACAUGUAUGGGCACGUAGGUGCCCAUAGAAUAUGAGGAAGGGUACUAAAGUUGUUACCCACGAGUGUACGAGCUCGGGUACAAAUAUUUUUUACAAACGCGGAUAUGGGAAGGGUGGUAUUGUACCCUAUCCAUUAGAUAUCCAUUGCCAUCCAUAAUCAAUAAAGAUAAUGAUUACAAGUCACUCUCUUACCCUAAUAUUUUCAAGACACACUUUUUUAUUUGUUAAAAUUUCAAAUCAUUCCACAAAAUUUAAUUAAAUGGAUUUAAAAUUAUGUCACCCCUCAUUUCGCAUUUGAAUUUAGAGAAGCCAUUUGUGUUUCCUAAAUACUUAUGUGUUUAGAAUUUUCGUGUUAAUUAAUUUUAGGAGAGAAGACGCAAAUCAAUCACUCCUAAUAUUUUUGUGAGUCAGUUCAGUCCCUUACAAAAACAAUAUAGUUCCAAAUUAGUCUAUCAUGUUAAAAUUAAAUCACCAAGAUCACAUUUACUUAAAAACUAUGAUUACCGUACUCGUCGGGACAAGAGUCUCCCUUUUCCUUUCACAUGCUCCAAACUUAAGGUUUUCAAUGGGGUGAACUACUAAUGAGGAGAAUAGUCAGAGUGGUGGCAAUGGGGACCUAACCUCUCUAUUUAUAAUCAUGCAACCUUAGGUACUACCAAUCAUGAGCCCUAACUUUCGGGCCUACACUUUGUAUUUACACAAAUCAUAUUAAGUGUCCAAAUACUCAUUAUCUAUCGAUAACUUUUAUUAGGGCCUAAGCAUCAUCAAAUGUAUCACAACAUCAGUUCGUUUUUGUGAAAACCAAAACCUACAAUUGAUUGCAGCACACAAAAUAUUAGAAGAAAUUCUAACAUAUCCCUCUUUUUAUUUUAGAAACAAAUUAGUCUCUCUAAUACAAUGAGUUAAGGACUAAUUUAUCCUCCAUUCGAAAAUAUAAGAGACUAAUUUAGGUUUAAUUUUUGUCAGGGACUGAAUUGGCUCAAUCAAAAAAUCUGAAGGACUGAAUUGAACCUUCACUUAUGGUAGAUAAUGUCACACAAAACUAAUGUUGAAUUGUAACGUAAUCAAUUAGACACAAUGAAUAUAAAAUUUCUUGAGCAUAAAACAUUUGAACUUGAAUCGAAUGUAACUGAGAGACAAAGGAGUGGGAUGAUCUUUGGCCAAGGAUUGAAAGUACCGUCAAUGUUAUUGUAUGAAAGGGAAUUUUGGUUAAAUAUCGUAUCGCAAUUGUUUCAAAUACAUUCAAUGUCUUCCCAAGGGAUCAACACUCGGGAAGGCAAAACAAAUAAAACAUUUUAAUUCUACGAAUAGCGCAAAUGUUUAUUAGAUUAAUUUAGUGAUUUCUUCGCUGGAACUAUCUAUAUUUUGUACAUGUGAAUAAGAGUUUUCAUACGUGGAAUCUACAUCCACAUCUUCGCCGUAAGUUUCUUCCUCAAAAACUCUUGUUCCACCGUAGUAUGCUGGUUUCUUAGGCAAAAUAUCCACUUUUAUUUUGUUAGUUAACAUUGCUAUAACAUUGGACAUGGUGGGACGAUCAUCCGCAUUUUCUUCUACGCAUAAUAAACCAGCAUGAACACUUCUCAGCACUUCAUCCUCAGAAAACGACUCAUUUAGUAAUGGAUCCACCAACUGAAGAACCGCACCUUCUUUCCAUAGCUCCCAUACAUGUCCUACUAGAUUAAUUGGUCUGUCUUCAGAGUAGAAACUGUUGUUUUUUUUACCACUGAUAAUUUCAAGGAGCAGCACUCCAAAGCUAUACACAUCAGACUUCGUAGAAAAUACUCCUUCCAUCGCAUACUCAGGAGACAUGUAACCACUAUGAAACAAAAAAUAUUAUCGACAUUACAAAAGAUUCGGUUUACACAAUUAUUACUGGAACUUAGAUGCAAAAGAGAACACGAAAAACUCACUAUGUCCCAACAAUUCUGUUGGUAUUUGCUUCAGUUUCUUGUUUUGUGAACAUUCUUGCCACACCAAAAUCAGAAAUUUUUGGGUUCAUAUUUUCAUCAAGGAGAAUAUUACUAGCCUUCAAAUCUCUGUGGAUAAUUCGAAGUCUUGAGUAUUUGUGAAGGUAUAGUAGUCCUUGAGCAAUUCCUUCGAUUAUGCUAAAGCGUUUGUUCCAAUCUAACAUUUUUCUUCUAUUGGAAUCUUCUCACACACAAAAAGAAAGAAAUAUAAUGUCAUGAGAAGAUGUAUUAUAAUAAAUAUUAAACAACCAUAAAAUAUGUUAGAUAUAUCAAUAAAUUUUAGUUCUCUACAUCAAGAAACUUAAAUUUCUCUUCUUAAUUAAUAUCAAUUAUCUGUUUUUAUUGCUGAAAUAAAGGUCACCCAAAUAUUCAAUACACAACCUUAAGAAAUUGUAGCAAUCAAUAUAUCUCACCAAAUAAAAAGAAGUCCAAACUUUUGUUGGGCAUAUACUCAUAGAUCAACAUUCUCUCUCGUUCAUGAAUGCAAUGACCGAUUAGCCGAACAAGAUUUGUAUGCUGAAGCUUACAAAUGAGUGUUAAUUCAUUUCUAAACUCAGUCAUUCCUUGUCCAGAUGUUUUUGAAAGUUUCUUCACAGCUACCUCUUGCUCCGAAGGUAGAAUUCCCUGUGUUGAAUUUAAAAGCAUAUUAAAAAACCGAUGACUCAAUAAUCGCAACUGUUUCAUCUCAGAAAAACUAUAAAAAAAGGGUCACCUUGAAAACAGGUCCAAAGCCACCUUGUCCUAACUUGUUUUCUGAUGAAAAGCCAUUGGUUGCCACAAUUAUUGAUGAAUAGGUAAACACUUUUAAGUCAUCUCCGUUGCUCAAAUCUCCUUCUAGAUCAUCACCAUCAGAGUAUUGCCUUGAACCUUCUAGAUCUUCAAUCUGCAUUCUCAUUCUUUCCCUCUCUGUUUACAUGAAGGUGAAAAAUGAAAUAUUAAGGGAUUGUUAUAAUUAGGUACUAAAUAUAAUAUUUGAUCAAAUGUAAAUACCUCGAAGCACAUGUCUUCGUUUCCUUACUGCUAAGAGCACAAUGAAAAGCCCCACAAAUGGCGUAAGAGUCCCAAUUCCAAUAUAAAUCCAUAUCCUCUUGUUCGAUACUAAAACAAGGAACUGAUUUGAGUUAUAUAUUUUAGUGAAUUACUUGUUCAAAUACAAUAAUUGUAGUUAGAGAUAUAAAUACCUUUGGGAUCGGUGUUCUUAACCAGAAUGUUAAAUAACUCAUAACCACUGCUUGCAAUGUUAAGACCUUCAGUUGAUACCAAGAAGAGACAACCAGUUCCAUUACCAUAAAAGUUUCUGAAUCCAAAACAGCUGCAGUUACUCCAGCAUAUUUCUUCGCAGUCAUUUAUGCCAUAAUUAGUAUUUGCUAUAUCGUAUACCAUAUUUUCAUUAACGUAAACUAACUUGCUAUCAAACAUAUCACCAGGAUUCCUGCACAGUUCAUUCCACUUUUGGCACCCUCCAUUAGUAUUGAACCCAUUGCACAAAUCUGCCCUUGCUAUGUCACGUCCUUCACUGUUUAUCAGUAGGCCAGUUUGUAAUAGAGUCCAUUUGGUAAAACCGUCUUCAUUUGGCCAGUAUGUGAAGUACUCUUCUUCCUUAUUAGACACAACAUUGACCUCAAAGUCUUCUCCAGAUAUAUACUCAAAUGUAUUGUUUAUCAGCAGUUUUCCACUUGUCCAAUAUACUUUUUCUCUAUGCUUGAUGACCAAUUCUUUUCUUGUGGGUUCCCACUCAAGCCUGAAUGUACCAGAAGCUGGGCUUGAAUCGCUAAUGCUUGAAACCAGUGACCAUUUUUCACCAGUUUUACGAUUCACACCUAAUUUCAUCCCAGGGAGCAAACUAUCGGUUGGAUGAUCAAAACUUUGCCACAAAACAAUGUUCUUCUGAAUAUCUUUCAACACAAAGUUACCUGUAUCCAACAAGGUGGCAACAAUAUUACUACUAUUGUUAGAAUGUUGACGUGAAGCAUACAGGAUUAUUGGUUCACCGAUUUUGGAUUCUAUUUUGAGUGCACCAGAUUGGUUCAGUGAUAACACUGCAGAAUCCAUGUCAACAGGUUGGUCUCUAUUAGCGAUCCAGACUAACCAAUUAUCUUUCCCUUUGGCAAAUAUGCUGAGAUAAGUGAGGUUGUCAAAAUCCGUAUUUUGGUUAAAAUUCAUGCAAUAUCUACCUUGUUUAGAACACAACGUAGAUGUGGCACUGGCAUUCAGUAUAUCUCCUGGCUUCAUACUAUCAGUAUUUUCUGCAUUGACAUAGGUAGAAAUAGUAUUACACCAUAAGGACAAGUAUGUGAAGAAAAGCAACACUUGAGGUUUCCCUUUUUCAGUGCAAACCAUGUUUAAGUCACAGAAUUAGUGCUUCAAAUGUUUAAAGAUUAUUCUGCAAUUAAGUUUUGGAUUAGUAAAGAUGGAAAUGCAAUGACCAAUCUGUCAUUAAAGGAGCUUUGGCGUUCAUUUUUCUAAUCAAAAGAAGACCGCACUAUACAUAGUUUAUUCAACUUAUCAACCAUGUGCAAAACAAGCUCUUGAACCCUUUUUUUAAUACAAAGUCAGUCAAUUAAAGUGUAAAAGAUGCAGUUAUCGUAUUGAUCCAAAAUAAUGCAAAAUAAGUUAAAGAUUUCUUAAUAUCAUAUUAUCCACCCAUUUAGUUCCUUAAUAUGUAUUUAGUCAAUUGAUCAAUGUGAACAAAAUUUAAUAUUCUGUCCCUUAAUAUUUCACAAGGGUUCAUUAUGUCUUGUAAUCCUAUAAAAUCAUGAGUUUUCAAGUUUAUUUGCUAUUAAAUUUUAAUGGUACUUUUAGUCUUUCAUACUAUUGCAUUUUGUAAGAAUAGUCUAUAUUUAAAAAAGUUUUUAAAAAAAUGGAUACGUUUAACUCAAAGGUGGUUAGAUGAGAUGAUAUGAAUCUCUUCUAUCUUAAUCAAAAACGACGAAGCUAGCAAUAUAUUUAUGAGAUGGCCGCAUAUAUAUUUUUUUUUUAAAUUAAAAGUAAAUUUAACCAAUAAACAAAAAAAUAAAAACAAAAAAGACCUUCAUAAAAGUAAAUAUAAGAUUGUAUCUAACAAAUAAAAUAUGACAGUAGUUAUUUAUGAAAGUCUCACUUGGCGACCCUUUAAAAGCUCAAAUCCCUUCAUAAUUGUCUAUGAGCUAAAUUGAUUUGUAAUGUCUUUUUGAGUGUAAAUAAAAUAGUGUUUCCUUUCAUUUGCCCAAUUUAUUUACUACUAAAUUAAUUAUAUUAUAAUUUUAAUAUAACAAUGGGUGGACGGUGGGCCUAUAUGAUAUAUGUUUGGCCUAAUAGUAACAUAUUAAAAUAUUGUUGCUGUUGUUGUUGUCGUAUUUUUUUUUUGUUAAAUAAAAUAUAAUACUAAUUUUUUUAGUGUUGAUUCUUCAGUUUCGGGGAGAUGGGGUCAGAUAAACCGAAGUUCGACUCAAAAGAAGACCGCACUAUAUCAUUAAGUCAAAAAAAUGUUAUUAUACCUAAAAUCGAAUUUGGGGUAGCUAAAUAUAAAAAUAUAUCUACUAAUUCAAUAAUUUUAUUUUUUUUUAAAUAGCUAUAGUUAUCCCUUUCUUAUACAAGCAUUCGCCCCAGUUAACUAAAAAGAAUCACAAAUAAAAAAAGCACAAUUAAUUCAAACCAUCUAUUUUUGUAUUUUUCUCGUCUUCAGUGGUCGGUAUCAGAGCAAAGUCUAUAUAGUUAAUACUUAACCGUGUUAGAGAAAAACAUGUGUCCUUUACCAAAAAUGAUUCCUUUUUAUAUACACCUCCUACAUUUAAUUAAUCGAGAUGCCGAACAAUUUGUCAUGUUGAAAAGCAAAUUGUACAAUUUUUAUAUCAUCCAAGUUGAGGAUCCAUGACACAUUAUAGAAUAUGGUAUUACCAUUUUAAUGGACAAGGAAAGAACUAUGAUAAAUAGAAAGGCUUUGAAUCAUCGAAGAUGAGGAUCCAUGACACAUCAUAGAAUACGGUAUUACCAUUUCAAUGGACAAGGAAAGAACUAUGAUAAAUAGAAAGGCUUUGAAAGAUGAUAAAAUAAGAUCUACAAAAGACACAAAGCUAGAACGAUAUUGGUCAAUAAAAUUUCGUUUCCAGUGUUCAAAAAUAUUGGAGAUAAAUCUACAGCUAAGUAAUGAAAUUAAAUGCCUAACUCAUCCUUAAAAACCGGUUCAGGUGAGGAUUGUCUCCUCUAUAUAAAUUCUUAUCUAUCCGAUGUGGGACAUGGGUUUUUCCCAAUCCACCUCGGUCGCGCCCAGCACUCUUUGGGCUUUGGUGCAUGAAUCGGUUGUCACGUCAGCAGCACUCGUUGGGCUUGGUGUGUGAAUCGGUAGGUGGCCCUUGAAAUCGACAGGCUCUGAUACCAUAAUGAAAUUGGCGGCCUAACUCAUCCUUAAAAACCGGUUCAUAAGGUGAGGAUUGUCUCCUUUAUAUAAACUCUUAUCAAGAGUCUUAUCAAUCUGAUGUGGGGGACAUGGGUUUUUCCCAAUAAUGAAAUUGGGGCCUAACUCAACCUUAAAAACCGGUUCAUAAGGUGAGGGUUGCCUCCUCUAUAUAAACUCUUAUCAAAAGUCUAAUCUAUCUGAUGUGGGACAUGGGUUUUCCAAAUACACCCCCGUCACGCCCUGCACUCUUUGGGCUUUGGUGUGGGCCGUCAUGUCUAGCAACACUCUUUGGGCUUGGUGCGUGUAUUGGUAGGUGGCCCUUGAAAUCGACAGGCUCUGAUACCAUGAUGAAAUUGGGGGCCUAACUCAACCUUAAAAAUCGGUUUAUAAGGUGAGGGUUGUCUCCUCUAAAUAAACUCUUAUCAAGAGUCUAAUCUAUACGAUGUGGGACAUGGAUUUUUCCCAAUACUAAGCAUAUUUUACUCCAUGUGCCAUACAUAUUAAGGUAAUCAUCAAGUGAAGGCAACAAAAACAAAUUUGCUCGUUCAACAAUAAGAGAAUUUCAAGAUGAAGGACAAAGUGUUGAAACAAAAAUCUCUUUGGUGAAUGUUUUAAUGAUAACAAACCUUAUGGAAUAAACAUUAAGUUUUAUGAAUAGUGAUCUACUGAUGUUUGCACUUAAGUCUUUUCACAAAAGUUGACAUUAAAGAGGUAUCUUACAAGUGCAUAUAUAUACUCAUUGGUAGAAUAUCAAAACAGUAGUAUCACAAGCUCAAAAUAGAUAGAAAAAGAAUAUUGUUUGAAUCAAAUGGGUGUUGAUUGAAGAUUCAACAAGAAGAUGAAUUUUAUAAUCAAUUGAAUUCAUGUUUGGUGAAAAUAGAAGUUGACAAGAAAGAAGUCUCUUACAAGUGCAUAUAUGAUGAGCAAGAUUUUGAUGAGGAGGAGAGUUUGUUGGAACAAAAUGUGUUUCACAAUGAACCUUAAUAAGUUUUGAUGAUAACAAGGUAUUAAAAAUUGUCAAUUGGUUAUUGCUAAUAAUUGUUCAAGUGUACAGGACCAAAGGCUAGUCAAGUUAUUUCAAUAGGUCUUGGAAGAACAAUGGAAANNNNNNNNNNNNNNNNNNNNNNNNNNNNNNNNNNNNNNNNNNNNNNNNNNNNNNNNNNNNNNNNNNNNNNNNNNNNNNNNNNNNNNNNNNNNNNNNNNNNAAUAUUUUAUAUUAUUUUCAAAUCUUUAUUUUAUUUAACAAUAAAAUAAAUCUCAUAUCAUAAUCAAAUCCUUCAAUACUCAUAACUUAACACGUCAUCAAUCAAAUCAUCAAAAUUCAUCAAAACAUAUCAAAAUCAUGCAUAUAUUAUAUAAUUAUAAUAUAAUUGCCUAAACUCGAUUUAAUAAACGAUUAAACGAAAGUGGGCGUUACAGUUGUAAUCUGUGUGAUUAUUUCUUAGUGGAAAUCUCCUUGGAAGUGCAAGGGGGACCGGACUACUUCCGGUUUGUGGAAGGAACCAGUAUAAUUGCUUGUGUCUCUCUUUCUUUUCUCUACUCUGUUUUUUACUCCGUUGCGUAUCAGAUUCUGAACAAUACAUCAGAGGCAAUUUAAUUGCAUCUGAAGUAUUAUUACAUCAGAAGCACUCUCACAGCUUCUGAAGUGAUAUCAGAAGAAGUUUUUUUUGAGAAAAAGAAAACACAAUUCAACCCCCCCUUCUUGUGUUUUUCUCACCUUCAUCACCAACAACAACUCAUUUCUCCUCUACAAUCAUGAAUUAUGCACACCCAAGCCAUGAAUUAUCAAUAGCAACAUCACUUAACAACAACUACACCAAUUGAACAUGAAUCUCAGCAUAAUUCAACCUCAUCAUAUCACAAAUUGACAUUUAGAGCAUAAUAAUAUGACAUAUAUCAUUUUCAUAUACUUUGAUCAUUCAAUUUCACCAACAACAAAUCAAUUAUCACCAAUUUCUUUCGUACAAACAUAACAUCAUAAUUGGAGCACGAAUUUUAACAAUUAUGAACAAUUAAUCAUUUACUCAAUUAAGCAUUUAUUCAUACAAUAAUUGAAAAAUUGCACUAAAUGAUUAUGAUGAAUUCCAACCCCCUUACCUUAGUUAUAUCAAUUCCCUAUCUCAAAUCAAUCUUACUAAACACCUCAACCGAUCAUUUUAUUUCUAUCUCUCACUCCCUAUCACAUUUGCAAACUAUAGCAUCACUCUCGUUUUAUCUUUAUUUUUUUAAUUUAAUGGUGUAUAUACUCCAACAGGAGGUGAAAACAAAACAUUUUCUAUGUUCAAAUCCAACUACUACUGUAGACUUUUUUUUUUAGUAGAAAAUGUAGCCAAUAUUUAACAACACUUCAUAUUUAAAAAAAUAUAUUAAAAUGAGAAUUUUUUUUGCUCCUGCCAUCCUAAUCCUUAUGGAACGUAUUUUCAAUUAACAAAAGAGAUGAUAAUAUUUUACACUAUUUAAUUAGUAGACUUACAAUUACUAGCCAAUUAGAAAAGCAAAACAAAAGCAGCGGUAUAAUUUGAAUUCGUAAAAUGAAAAAACCGAAUCAGAAGCCAUGUAAAAGAUAAUUUGAAACAUGAACAAUAUCAAUAAAUUUCAAAAUCAUGAACGUCCUCACUAUAAGAAGAAAUUAAAUUUUUUUGUUCCGUUUUUAUGGAGCCAUCCUUUUGAACUUCUGACCUAACAUCCCACCUAGUAGACUUUCUUCUCCCUCAGGUGGACGACAUCUUCAUCCUUUUGAUCAUUCUAAACAUCUGGAAAUAGAAAGAAACAUAAGAUUGACAUACCAAGAUGUUGCUGAUAGCUUAGCACAAAACCAUAAUAUAAACAGUAGAAAGUAACUUUCAGGAAGGCAACACGUUGGAAACAUAUCUUUACAAAGGGAAUUUAAAAAUCUAUACGACAAUCAACUACAAGAGUUGAAAACAAAAAAAUGAGUAUCUAAUACGACAGAUAAAUACAACACAGUCAAGAAUUCAAAGAAAAAAAUUAUACAUGAAUACUAAUAUUCAUAUGCUUGUCAGAGAUAUAAACAGAACUGUUGCUGGCAAUUUUUUUUUUGAAUACUAAUAUUCAUAGGCUUGCCAGAGAUAUAAAAUAGAAUUGUUGAUUCUACAAGAGCAUAAUUUUUUUUAUUUUGAUAAAUAAUUACAAAUACUAUUUGAAAGAACGAUAAGAAAUCACACAAAAAGGAAAAUUAAAAAGAAAACAUUAGCAAGCCAUGUGGAUCAAAAUUCAACAAAGUUAUUUUGUUUCUCAAAAUCUGAAUACAUGAAGUUUAACCGAUAGUAGAACAUCAAAGAUAAACAAUUAACACAACCAUAUCCCACAAACAAUGUCAAAACAAAAAAACAUCAUACCAAAAAGUGUUUCUAUUUAAUAUAAUUAGUUAAUUAUAGACAAAGAAAACACAUUGAAAACAAAAAUAUCAUGUUUAUGCCAGCACAAAAUUAAGUAAGUUUGCAUUAAUUUUUGGAUCACUGGAUAUAGUUUCAAAAAUAUUGUUACUCAUUUGUGAAUAAGGAAGACGCGAGAUCUGGAAAAUUUAAUGUGACUGUAUCAAUAUCAGUGAUAUAGAUUAGGCAUUUAAAAUUAAAAAAAAUCCACACUAUUCAAAAAAAGGUGAUCAUAAUUUUCAGCAUUUAAUUAGUCUGCUUGACAUUUACUAGCCAGCCGAAAAAAUAAACACGUAUUUGCCAAUCAGAAAAUGCAAACGAAAUCAGCAACAAAAUGCGAACUCGUAAAUGAAUUAAACUGAAACAGAAACCUUGUAAAUGAUCAUUUUAUGCAUGAUCAAUAUCAAUAAAGAUCAACACCUUGAAUGUUAGUACUAAAUUUCAAUGAUUUAACCUUUAACAUAAACAAAAAAUCUAAAGAAAAUUUUUUCGCACUGUUUUUAUGGGACUAACAAACUCCAAGAUUAGGUUUAGACUUUUGUAGCCAAAAAGACAGAAAUGACGGCUGAAUAGCUUCUUGAACACUUCAAAUGUCCAAUUUCACUUGAAAUCAUGUCCGAUCUUGUUAUCCUCUCCUCUGUGCUGGGCUUCAAAUGUUGUAGGUGCUGGAAGAUAAAGUAACCCGUGUGUCCUUACUCUGAUUUGGUGCGCAAGGAGCAAGUUAUAGAGCAGUCAGGCUCACGGGAUUCUAGUUCUGAAACAUUGGCUGACAUUAGAGCAUGUGAGCCUGCUAGUCCGGUUUCCCUCAGAGGCUGUUUCUAAACAAGAGAACAACCCUUUUCCGUUUUCUCUUUCAAAUGUUGAACUGAUUACAGAACCCAAGUUAGAGUUUGAUGCAGAGCAGUCACAUUCACAGGCUUCGAAGAAAAACCAUUCUGGAGAAGAUUUUGGUUCUGGAACACUGGCUGACACAAGAGCAAUCAUGAGUACGAUCUCUAAUUGAAACCAUUAAAUGUAUAACACUAAAUGAAGAAAAAAUAUUGAUUCCUAAAAUAUUAUAAAAGCAAAAAGUAUUUUUGAUUCACGUCAGAAAAUAUUAAUUUUUUCAAUGUCUACACUAAAAAAUGUAGAGUUGUAUACUAUAUACUAGAAUCUCAGCCCAAACUCACAACCAGCACCUGUAUCAAAGCAACAGAAUAUAGAUAUUAGAGUAAAACAAGUAACAUGCUAAUUUCAAAUAGAUUAAUAUUACAAGGAUUACUUUCAUUUUAACUUGACAUCUUUCAUGAUUUCUUUUCAGUCUCUCUCCAAAUCCUUGCCCAGAGAUUUUUUUAAAUACAUAACACCCAGGCUUAGAUUUUAUUGGCUAACAUUAAAUUCAGAACAAUUUCUUGAUAAAAUCUAAGGGUGAUUAUUCUGUCAUGUCAUUCUUCAAUCUUUCUUGAUAUAUAGCAUUGCUCAUAUGGAAAAUUUGAAUGUCAUUUAACGCUAAACAUAAAUAUAAUAUCUAAAGAAAAUUUUUGAGUACCGUUUUUAUGAGGCCAUAGUUUUGAGAAUUCACUUUUUUAAUCAAAGUAAUCACACUUGAUGUUGAGAAAGAACAAAAGAACAAUUUCAUGAGUACUACACCAAUGAAAUCUAUUUGUAGAUGACCACAAGAAAUCGAAAUCAUUAUCAAGGAAUAGCAUCCAAUUUCUACAAUGAAGCUGCAACAAUAUUAGCAGAAAUUAGAAGAAAAUAGAUUACCAAUAAAAAUGAAUACAAGCAACAAAAAAAAACUGAGGAAAGUGGAAUCAGAUCAGAUCUAAGGCAACAUACCAGGGAUCACUCAUGGCAGCUUUUUGUCUACAUUUGGUGGAAUGCAAUGAACAACAAAAUGUGAAAGUAAUAAUUUGUGAGAGGGGUGAUAGCAGCCGCAGAUAAUAGUGUGAGAAUGAGUAGCAGCAGCAAGUGAAAAGGGUUACAUUGAAAACCCUAAUUAUCUAUUAUAUAUAAGAGUCAUUGUUGCACAAUCUAUAGUGUCCAAAUGGGCUACCUGUUUGUUAUGGAUCCAGAUUUUGUUGGGUUGGGCCAAAAAGUAUUAUUUAAACAGGGAACAUUAUACCAUGUACCACUACACUUAUACUUUGACCUCUACAAAGGACAAACCAUUAAACAUCCCCUAUACCCCACAAAACAUUUUCUAUGGCAAUUUUUUUUUCAUGAAUUGAAUAAAUGACAAUCAAAUUUAUAAAUUGGAAAUAGAGAAUAUGUAUUCCAAAAUAAGGGUGUUAAUGAGUCAAGGUUUAUAUGAAAUAAAAUUUAUAUUAAAUGAGUUCCAAUAUGUUAAAAUGGGUCUACAUGUUUUCAGACGGCAUAAAAACUUUGUUUUUUCAGAAAGUAUACUCAUUUUGCUGGGGAAAUAAAAUUCACAAGAUAAUUAGAGUCAAUCCCAACCAUAUGGAAGAAAUUUUCCCAACCUGCUUCAUUGAAUUUAGAGCAAAGAACUACAACAAAAAAAGUUAUGACGGACAUAGACCCUCUAUUGCUCCCUCUACCAAAACAACAAACUUGAAUUGGACAGCAUGUGAAAAUUGCAACGUUGACAGUUAGUUAGAAUAAGAGUGACUUGGAUAGAUAAACUAGACGAACACAAAGGAAAGAUGCCAACAUGCACAACCUGGAAGAGAAAGAUGCAGUAAACCAAAUACUUUUAGUGAUUAGAAAGAAAUGAGCAAUAGACGGACAUAGGACGAGAAAGGUGCACACAUACCAAAUAUGUGCACAUACUAAGACAUUCACCAGAUGUAACUCUAAAACUCACAACGAUGAUUUGAUUAAUGACGUAAACUAACAAGGACCGUAGUGACUAUAGUGGUAGCCGACUGUGGCAAAUGUUAACUUAUGCAGUGGCCGACAACAAUAACAGAGACAUGCUAAACAUUGAAAAUAUAACUAUCAAGUACAGUCCCAAACUUUCGAAAACACGUCAGCAAUAAAGUGUUGCCACGGCCAAGGAGGAUUAUACCACUCUGAUUCUAGGUAGAGGUUAUAUGUUUUAGAUAAAAGAAGAAGAAAUGGGAUUAUGGUGUAAUAUGGCACAAUAAUCUUUAUAGUAUCUUGACAAUUAACUUCUUUGAAAGAAAAAAAAAAAGUUGAUAAUUAACUAUAUAGUAGCUUGAUAAAAAGACUAAACACUAAUCCAUAUUUAUAAGAUACAAGAUUUCUAAUCAAAUCACUAAGAAAACUAAAUAACAGGAAACUAAAAUUAGGGGAUAAUAAGAUAUUCUAAGAUUAAAAAUUGAUCCUAUGAAAUUUAAACUAAGAUACCCCAAGAUAUUUUCCUUUACUCGAACACAAAUAAAGGCCGUAGGUUUCACACAAUUUUCAUAGUUCCAAACUUAAGACAACAAAUAGACUAAUGUGCUUGCUUACAAGUUAUAAUAUAGGAUACAUCGGCCCAUUUAAGGUUGGCCUAGUGGUUACUUGGGAUCUUGGAGUAUGCUCCUCUCAAGGUCUCAAGUUCGAUUCCCCUAGUGCAAAUUUCGGUGGGCAAGUUCGAUACUGCACCGAUACGCCGAAUAAAACUACACUCAAGCCACAUUUUAAGAAAAGAACUCAAAUAAAAAUAUUCAUGAGAUGCAUGCUCUUAAUCACUAGAUGAUCCGGAUAUAAACAAGCCACACAGGCUAAAAACGAGCCACAUAGGCUAAAAAAAGCCACACAGGCUAUGCAAAUGUCGUGAUGAUUAAACAAGCCACACAGGGUAUGCAAAUGUCAUGUCAUGAUAAUUAUUUCCAGAAAUAUAUUCUAGCCACUUAGGAAAAAACAAAUUAGAACCCAGCCACUAAGGCAACCACACAACUGAAUCAUAAAAAAAUUACAUCUUUUUAUUCUCUCCUGUCAUAUGCCUUGAGCAACCGCUGUCUAGGUACCAUGAUUUUUGCUUUACUUUUACUCUAAGACAUAUCUGCAAUAUUGACAUUUUCAAAUUUAGGUACCCAUUGUCUUAUGGGUCCUUUGAGGUUAGUACUAGAAGUUUUACUCUUCACUUCUUGUACCUUGUGCUGAGAGUUUCAUUGCUUAUGGUUACUCAUUGCCUUAGGUUUAAUACCUCUUGGUUAUGAUUCCCAAGUAGCAACAAUUGUUUUCUUCCUCUAAAACUUAGACUUUAAGAUACCAGCUUCUGGCCUCAACAGACUCUGAGGAACAGGUUCUGAUCUCUUCAUAAUCUUAAUCUUUGAGGUCUUAGAAUCAGAUUUUAUCAUUGCCUUUGGCUUAGAGUUCUUUGGCUUUGAAGUAAUCUUAGCCUCAGAGCUAGUAGCUUCAGGCUCUGACUGAACAACAGUUUCACUCUUAGCACCUUCAAGUAUAGAGAAGGUUUUCAACACUUCCUUGGUGCAUUCACAACAGGCUUUGAGACUGAUUUCAUUUGGUUUCCCUUCUAAAAAUCCAAUCCCUUUAUCAUUGUUUCUAUUAAUGCUAUAAAUCAUAGAAGCAACUUUGCUUCUGUCAAUACUAGACAUAAUAUACUCCUCAAGAGAAAUUUCUUCUUUACUUAAAGACUUUCCGUUACAUUUUUCUUGUAGCCUCUAACAAAGAUGCUUGAGUUCAUCUUCAUAAGUUAUACAAAUGAAGUCAAACCCUCUAAGUCCUUUUUCAUAAGCUUUUAGAUUCAAUAGAGUUGAUUCUUGUUAUUUCAUCAAAACAACAUAUCUUUCUUUUAAAUCUUUCAACUCAUUGGUUCUGUAUUCAAAGUGUGUAAGGAGUUUUUUAAGAGACUCAAUAAGUUCUUCUUUGGGAAUCUUAGAAUAUACCUCAUUUUCAUCUUUAGAAUCUGAAUCUGAAUCUGCUUCUGAAGUCACAGUAGCCACUAACCCAACAACCACUUUAUCAUCUUCUUCAGCCUCUUCCUUUUCAGAGUUUGAAUCACUGUCUAAAUCUUCCCAGGUUUCCAUUAAACUCUUCUUGCUCUGCUUUCUGAAUUUCCUUGUGUUGAAGUUUGACUUCUUUGACUUGUCCUUUGAUUUCUCCUUCUGAAGAUCAGGGCAAUCAACAAUGAAAUGUCCAGGCUUCUUACAGUUGAAGCAUCCCUUCUGAUCUUCUUUCUUCAAGUUCUUGUAGCCACAUUUCUUACUCAGAAACUUCCUGUUUUUCUUUGCAAGAUACUCAAGCUUGUUGGAGAGCAUAGCCAUCGUCUUAGUAGGAUCUUCAUCAGAAUCUCCAUCAGGUGAUUCUUCUUCAAAUUCAACAACUUUAAGAGCUUUUGAUGACUUCCCUUUAGAUGGUAGAGUAAUGUAUUUACUCUUCCUAGAAGGUUUAUGUUCAUUAAGACUUAUCUCAUGAACUUUGAGAGAGCUGACAAGAUCUUCAACACUUAAAGUGUUUAAAUCUUUAGCUUCCUCAAUAGCAGUCACCUUUGGUCUCCAUCUUGCAGGUAAGCUUCUUAGUAUCUUGCUCACAUGAUCAGAGGCUACAUAGCUUUUCUUCAGUAUUUGAAGUCCAUAAACUAGAGUAUGAAAUCUUGAGUACAUUUGCUCAAUACUUUCAUCAUCUUUCAUUUUGAACAACUCAUACUGAUGAACAACCAUAAGAGCUUUUGCUUCUCUUACUUUCUUACUACCUUCACAGUUUGCACAGGGAGAAGCAAUCAUUGACUUAGUAGUAGAUUUGUCACUCAUCUUCAUAUACUCUGCUUUUGGUAUAGGUAUGACAUUAAGUUGUUCCUUGUCCAGAAGUUCUUGAAAGUUUCUUCACAGCUACUUCUUGCUCAGAAGGUAGAAUUUCCAGAAUCUUCUCCAUUUGGAGUUGUGUAUGUGAAGUACUCUUCUUUCUUGUCAGACACAACUUUGACCUUGAAAUCUUCUCCAGGUAUAUGCUCAAAUCUAUUGUUUUCCACUUGUCCAGUAAACUUUUUCUCUAUGCUUGAUGUCCAAUUCUUUUCUUGUGGCUUCCCACUCAAGUCUGAAUGGACCUGCGGCUAGAAUUGAAUCGCUAAUGCUUGAAACUAGUGACCAGUUUUACGAUUCACGCGUAAUUUCAUCCCAGGGAGCAAACUAUCGGUUGAAUGAUUAAAACUUUGCCACAACACAAUGUUCUUCAGAAUAUCUUUCACAACAAAGUUACCAGUAUCCAACAAGGUGGAGGUAAAGCAUACAAGAUUAUUGGUUCACCAAUUUUGGAUUCUAUUUUUAGCAUACCAGAGUUGUUUAGUGAUAGAACUGCUGAAUUGAUGUGAACAGGUUGGUCUCUGUUAGCGAUCCACACUAACCAAUAAUCUUUCCCUUGGCCAAAUAAUUUGAGAUAAGCAAGGUUUUCAGAUUGCGUAGUUUUGUCAAAACUCAUGCAAUAUCUACCUUGUUUAGAACACAAAUUAAAUGCGGCACUGGCAUUCAGUUUAGCUCCUGGCAUCAUAGUAUCGUAUGCUUUGACAUAUAUAGAAAUAGUAUAUAUGUGUGUAGACAUAUAUAGAAAUAUUUUAUCUCCUGGCAUCAUGUGUGUAGACAUUCAACACAUCUGCUCUAUAAGAGAAAACCAAGAAACACAUUGGGUUCAAGCCCAAUCAACUCAAGCAGGCGAAUCACGUACACAAUCUUAGUACAAUUUAAUUUUGUUUUCCAAUGGGAUGAUUCAAUGUAUUGUAACAUAAAUGGCUUGAUUUAUUCUUGAGAGAUUGCAAUCUCUUUCUUUGUGUUAAAUGGACGUUUAAAGAAUGAGAUGUCUAGAAAUUGAUGCAUUUGUCAAUCAUGCAACAAGAUAAAAGCUUUAUUAAGUCUGUCUAUAAAUCUGUCUAAUAAAAAAAUCAUUUACAAAUAUGGAAAUCAUAUAAACAAGAGAACAAAUUUGAAACAAGAGAAACAAAUUUGAGAAUUAUAAAUAUGUUUCAUUGAAGUAUUAAAUGGUUUUGUUGAAUGCUUUAUUAAGUUUCUUGCAUUCAGGAUGUGUAAUAUUUUAAAUAUAUUGCAUGGAAGUAUCGAAUGAUUUUGUUGAAUGCUUCCUGAAAAUGUUACAGUAUUUAAUGGGAAAUAUUCCAGUAUUGGAGGCUACUCUCUUGAUGGUUGUCGUGAGUUUUUACCUGCUGGAGCCGAAGGUGCCACCAAUUUUUUUAAAUGUACUGCUUGUAAAUGUCACAAAAACUUCCAUUGUAUUGUACCUGCAACUAAUCUUGUCGUUCCUUCAAAGAAUGGGAUCCACAUUUCAUGGGAGGAGCUUGAAGAAAAUGUUCAUGUUAGAAAUGUUGAGCCCAUCAAUGAUGAUGGUCGUGAUGGUGCUAGACAAGGGACGUCUAACUCGAAUAAGUGGUUUAGGACAAAGUUCACCCAUGAGCAAAGGAAGAAGAUGUUGGAUUUUGCAAUGACAUUAGGUUGGAAGACUAAAAAGAAUGAUGAGAAUGUUGUUGAGGAAUUUUGAAACGAGAUAGCGGUGAAGCGUCGUGUUUAUAAGGUUUGGAUGUAUAACAAUAAGCAUACCCAUGGAAAAAAGUAUAUGAUGAUGAUGAGAUGUAUGUUUAUGAGUUGUUGUAACAAUUUGUAAUUUAACCAUUUUUUCUACGUUUAAAAUCAUUAUUUAUGUUAUGAAAAAACUAUGCUUAAUUCUAUUCCACAAAAAACAAGCAUGCUUAAUUCUGAAAUGUUUUGUUGGAAGAAGGAUAGUUUCUUCAUAGCAUAAUUUUUUCUUGCUCUUGCAUUUUUUAAAUUUGAAUUUCAUUUUAUUAUAUGUCUAUGUUUGCCUUUGGCUCUUUUAUUUCUUGUUGCCAGAAAUAUUAAUUGAAACUUGAAAACAUUGAUCAACUCAAAUUUCUCCACAUACUAAAAUGGCUAGUAAGAAUAUAUAACUUCAGCUCAAAAUUUCCGUAGCUAAGAAAUAUUAAAGCUAAAAGAAGACAGUCAGACAAGCUUUAUCACAGUUCUUUCUCAAUAAAAUGUUUUUACCUACCUGAGGUACAAAAUGGAAAUUUUUAAAAUGAACAUCCGGUAAUUUUAAGACACAACCAGUUCCGUUAUCAUACAAGUUUUUGAAUCCGAAGCAGCUGAGUAGGCUUUUCCUCGUACUUUUUUGACACCCUCCAUUAGUGUUAUACCCAUAACACAAAUCAGCCCUUGCUAUGUCACUUCCUUUCCUGUUUAUCAAUUGUCAUCUGGAGUUGUGUAUGUUAAAUACACUUCAUGCUUAUCAGACACAAUUUUCUACUGAAAAUUUUCAUUAGAUAUGUAUUGUUUAUCAGUUGAUAUCUAUUGUUUUUCAUUAGCUUGAUUGAACCACUAAUGCUUGAUCAAAACAUUGCCAAAACGAAGUCUUUAUCUGAAUAUCUUGCAACAAAAAACUACCUGUAUCCAACAAGGUGGCAGCAAUGGUACUAUUGUUAAAAGGUGUAGGUGAAGCAUACAAGAUUAUUGGUUUUCCAAAUUCAGAUUCAAUUUUGAGUAAACAAGAGUGGUCUAGUAAUAAAACUACAGAAUAUGGGAAGAUUAAUCUGCAAUUAAGUUUUUGAUUAUUAACGACUGUAAUUGAAAGUGGGAAUAGGAUGACAAUCUGUCAUUAAAACAAUACUGCAUUGCAAAUUAAUCUUCCCACAUUUGAAGCAUUGAUUCUGUGACUUAAAAUAUGCGUUGUAGUUCAAAGUGGAAACCUUGUGUUGGUGGACUAGUAAUUCUAUCUACUGUCUUUGAUAUUCAAGCAUCAACAACAAAUUAUUUUGAAUUAUGAGUUUUGUUUAUGCUUUUUUGAAGCAAUUGUAUCAACCUUAGAAUUAAAAAGCAUAUGGAUAUUAUACCAUUUGUAUCUUACUUCCUCAGAUCUCAAUUAUAAGCAACAUUGCACUUUUUAGGUUCAUUGUUUAACUGUUGUAUUUGGUCUCACAUCACGUAUUCAUUGAAUCUAAAAAGUGAAUUUUUUGCUUAUAACUGAGACUGAAGGAAUUAUUCCUCUUAUGUUGUGAACUUGAAACCUAACUUGUAGAAGUUAAAAAAAAAUAUAGAUUACCGUGGUCAGAUCUCAUUUCCUUUUGAAUAGAGGUCAAUAUAGUUUCCAUCUUUUCUCUAUCUGUCAAUAAAAAUCCAUUUCAAAUUAAUAUAAUUUUGUUUGGUUGUAUGUUAGUUUGUUAUGUUCGUUUUGACUAGUUAAUUUUUACACAUUUUGUUUCUUGUUUAUACUUGUCGCAGUUUGGUGGUUAACACAACAUUUAAUUAAGUGUGCGUCAAAGCCUUUGUCAGUUCACACAAUGCUAUAGUUGUCUUCUCUGAUACCGUUUCUAUGUACUUGUGGUAUUGGGAAAUAUAAGGAGAUCAAAUUUCAUAACGACCAACUUCAUCUUUUAAUGAUAGCAUGAAAGUAUGUAGUGUUAAGGAUGCCCUGUGCAUUAUGGAACCUUUUAAAAGAUUAAAAUCUAUUGAUACCAAAUGUUGCAAUAAUUUGUCGAAAUGUGGCAUCCUCCAAAGGGCACACCUUUUUCUAUAUUUUUCUAGUAUUUGCGAAAAGUUACGAAAAUCAAAGGCAACAUAAUUCAAAUUCCAUCUGGUGUUGUCGACGCUUUUACUUCAACUGUUAUCGAAUCUCAACUAUAAGUGGUUGAAAAUGUAGGUGUUAAAUGAUCCAAGGGAAAACACACGCCAGAAUCAAUUCAAAUGAUCAGCAAUUCAAGAAAAUUCUGAAGAACUGCACGGUCGAUUUUCUCACCAGAAUGUCGUCACGACGGAAGAGGAUGGUGAUGGAAAUGAAACACAAGAAAAUUCUCGAAGAACUACAAGGUCGAUAUUCUCUCUCCUAUAUCAUUUUGGAAAUUACUUGCAUGUAUAUGAUAAUCUUAAUCAAAAUCCUAUAAUAUUACUAUAUCCUUUAAACAUAACAAAACCAGCCAUAUGUCAAAUACAAUGAAUGUCUUCCCAACGGCUCAAUGCUGGAGAAGAAAAACCGAAGAAAACAUAUCAGUGCUAUCACAUCAUGCAUUGGCACACAAACAACAUAAAAGUUUAUUCAGUAAAUUUAAUAAUUUCAUCCCUGCAUUUUAAUAAUGAUUGUACAUGUGAAUCAGAGUUUUCAUGUGUGGAAUCCACACCAACUUCUUCGCCAUACGUUUCUUCAUCAAAAACCCUUGUUCUACCAUAGUAUGCUGGUUUCUUAGGCAAAACAUCGACUUUAAUUUUGUUAGUUAACAUUGCUAUAACAUUGGAUAUGGUGGGGCGAUCAUCUGCAUUUUCUUCUACGCAUAAUAAACCAGCAUGAACACAUCUUAGCACCUCAUCUUCAGAAAAUGUAUCAUUUAGUAAUGGAUCCACCAACUGAAGAACUACACCUUCUUUCCAUAGCUCCCAUGCCUACGACAUCAAUGAUUAUUUUUCAUGUCAAAACUUAAACAACAUGCAUAAAAUUCAUAAAGGGAGUAGAGAGCGAAAGGAUCAUGUACAUGUCCAACUAGAUUAAGUGGUCUGUCUUCACAGUACAUGCUAUUGCAUUUUUCACCACUAAUAAUAUCGAGGAGCAGGACUCCAAAGCUGUACACAUCAGACUUUGUCGAAAAAACUCCUUCCAUUGCAUACUCUGGAGACAUGUAACCACUGUAUGAAAAAAUAAACAAUCAUGAUAUUAGAAAACAGAUUCAGUUUACACAAUUCUCAAUAAAAUUCCAAGCAAAAAAAUAACAGGAGAAACUCACUAUGUCCCAACUAUCCUGUUGGUAUUUGCUUCGGUUUCUUGUUUUGUGAACAUUCUUGCCACACCAAAAUCAGAAAUUUUUGGGUUCAUAUUAUCAUCUAGGAGAAUAUUACUAGCCUUCAAAUCUCUGUGAAUAAUUUUGUGUCUUGAGUAUUUGUGAAGAUAUAAUAACCCUUGAGCAAUUCCAUCCAUUAUGUUAAAGCGUUUAUUCCAGUUUAGCAACUUUCUUCUAGUGGAGUCUUCUCAAGAAAAAAAGAAAGAAAAUGUCGUUAGAAAAAGUAUUAUAAUGAAUAUUAAACAACCAUUAUUUAUGAUAGAUAUUCAACGUAGUUAAAAUCAUUAUAAUUAUCAUUUCACCCUCUACAUAAUGAAACUUAUAUUACUCUUCUUAAUUUUUAUUCUCCGUUUAUGAAACCAUUUGUAUCCUCAGCUAGCUGAAACAUAUGAGUGGAGAUUGUAACUAAAAGAGAAUGUAACUAUUAAUAUAUCUCACCAAAUAAAAAGAAGUCCAAGCUUUUGUUAGGCAUAUACUCAUAGAUCAAUAUACGCUCUUGUUCAUGAAUGCAAUGACCGAUUAGUUGAACAAGAUUGGUAUGCUGAAGCUUACAAAUGAGAGUUAAUUCAUUUCUAAACUCGGUCAUUCCUUGUCCAGAAGUUUUUGAAAGUUUCUUCACAGCUACUUCUUGCCCUGAAGGUAGAAUUCCCUGAAUUGAAUAUAAAAACUUCAUUAAUAAAAUGGAUAAAUGCAUAAUCUAAACUAUUUCAGAAGCCACCAUCUCAGCAAAACUAAAAAAGGGUCACCUUGAAAACAGGUCCAAAGCCACCUUGUCCUAACUUGUUUUCAGAAGAAAAGCCACUGGUAGCAACAAUUAUUGAUGAAUAGCUAAACACUUUUAAGUCAUCGCCGUUGCUCAAAUCUCCUUCUAGAUCGUCGCCAUUACAAUAUCGUCUAGAAGCUUCAAGAUCUUGAAUCUCAAUCUGCAUUCUUAUUCUUUCCUCCUCUGAUUAUAUAAAGGUGAAAAAUUAAAUAUUAAGGAAUGGUUAUAAUUAAGUACUAAAUAUAAUAUUGGAUAAAACUUAAAUACCUCGAAGCACUUGUUUUCGUUUCAUUAAAGCUCUGAGCAGAAUGGAAAGACCAAUAAUUAGCAGAAGAGUCCCCAUUCCAGCGCAAAUCCAUAUCCACUUGUCAAAUACUAUAACAAGGAACUGAUUUGAGUUAUAUAUUUCAACGAAUUACUUGUUUUUCUCUUCUUAUACAAAUAUGAAAAAUGUUCUUGUGGUCAAAUACAAUAAUUGAAGCUAAUUUAAAAAAAUUUCACUUGCUCUUGUGCUAGGCUAGCUUCCAGUCAGUCAUGGGAAUAAUAAUAAUUCCAACAUAGUUGUUAGAGUUAUACAUACCUUUGUGAUCGGCGUUCUUAAUCAAAAUGUAAAAGUAGUCAUCACCACUGCUUGCAACGUUAAGACCUUCAGUUGAUUCCAAGAAGACACAGCCAGUUCCAUUCUCAUACAAGUAUUUGAAUCCAAAACAGCUGCAGUUACUCCAACACAUUUCUUGGCAAUCACUUAUGCCAUAACUAGCAUUUUCUAUAUUGUUUACGAUAUUGUCAUUACCGUAAACUGGCUUGUUGUCAAACUUAUCACCAGGAUUCCUACAAGUAGGUAUCCCUGCUUCACCCCAUUUUUGGCACCCUCCGUUAGUGUUAUACCCAUAACACAUAUCUGCCCUUGCUAUGUCACCAGACUCACCUCCUUCUCUGUUUAUCAGUUGCCCAGUCUGUAAUAGAGUCCAUUUGGUAAGACCGUUUUUAUUUAGAGUUGUGUAUGUGAAGUACUCAUCAGACACAACUUUGAUCACGAAAUCUUUUCCAGUUAUAUGCAUAAAUCUAUUGUUUUUCAUCAGUUUUCCACUUGUCCAAUAAACUUUUUCUCUACGCUUGAUAACCAAUUCUUUUCUUGUGGCUUCCCACUCAAGCCUNAAAUCUAUUGUUUUUCAUCAGUUUUCCACUUGUCCAAUAAACUUUUUCUCUACGCUUGAUAACCAAUUCUUUUCUUGUGGCUUCCCACUCAAGCCUGAAUGGACCAGGAGACAGAAUUGUAUCACUAAUACUUGAAACCAGAGACCAGUUUUCACCAGUUUUAAGAUUCACACCUAAUUUCAUACCAGGGAGUAAACUAUCGGUUGGAUGAUCAAAACUUUGCCACAAAACAAAGUUCUUCUGAAUAUCUUUCAACACAAAGUUACCUGUAUCCAACAACGUGGCAACGAUAUAACUACUAUUGUUAAAAGGUGGUGGUGAAGCAUACAGGAUUAUUGGUUUGCCAAUUUUGGAUUCUAUUUUUAGCACACCAGAGUAGUUUAGUGAUAGAAUUGCUGAAUUAAUGUCAACAGGUUGGUUUCUGUUAGAAAUCCACACUAACCAAUCAUCUUUCCCUUUGCCAAAUAUGCUGAGAUAAGUGAGGUUUUCAGGAUCCGGUUUUUGGUUAAAAUGCAUGCAAUAUCUACCUUGUUUAGAACACAACUUAGAUGUGGCACUGGCAUUCAGUAUAUCUCCUAGCUUCAUACUAUCAGUAUUUUCUGCUUUGACAUAGGUAGAAAUAGUAAUACACCAUAAGGACAAGUAUGUGAAGAAAAGCAAAACUUGAGGUUUCCCUUUUUCAGUGUAAACCAUGUUUAAUUCACAGAAUUAAUGCUUCAAUCUGUGAAGAUUAAUCUGUAAUUAUGUUUUGAAUUAGUAAAGAUAUAUCACAUGUAUGUGGGAAUGCAAUGACCAAUCUGUCAUUAAAGGAGCUUUGGCAUUUAUUUUUCUAAUCAAAAGAAGACCGCACUACUUUAUGCCAUAAUAAUAUUUAUGUCUCAUACUUUAUAUAGUUUAUUCAAGUUAUUAUCCAUGUGCAAAACAACUCAUUGACCCUCUAAUGACUCGUUAUUUUAUUCUACAACAAAGUGAUUAUAUGAACAAAGAAAUAUUUUUUCUCUUUUCUAAACAAAGAAAUAGUAUAAAUCCAUUAGUCAAUUAAUCUAUAAAAGAUUAUGGGAACUCAAACAACGAAAAAUAAGUCAAAGAUCCCGUAAUAUCAAUCAAUUCAAUCCCUUAAUAUGUACUUAGUCAAUCUAAUGCGGCAAAAAAUUAAUAUAUAUUUUAAUGGACCAAUUGUCGUAAGGGUCAUGGAAUGUUCCUAUGACCGAUAUGAUUGGAUGUUUAAGGGACAAUAGGAAGAUUAGUGUUUGUUGGGUUAGGAGUUGAAAUUUGGUCUUGGUUACACCCAUAGCGUAACAUUUUUGUCACAAAUAAUGAUUUGAUGUUUUUCUCAUUGUUAUUAUAAAAGUUACAAAGCUAUACAAGUAAUUACAGUAAAUAAUUACAAUCAACUUGUUAUUCACUUCCCCCCCCCCCCCUCAAAUUGUUGUGGCUGGUCAAUAAUCAUCAAUUCGCCAACAAGAAAUUGAUGACAUGGACUUGGAACAACCUUGGUAAGAAUAUCUCCAAUUUGCAACUGAAUUUGACACGAGGAAGAGAUAUUAGUCGUUCAUCAUAGGCGUCACAUAUUGAAUGACAAUCAACUUUGUUAUGCUUGGUGUGUUCAUAAAAAAUGGGAUUUGCAACAAUUUGGAUAGCACUUGUAUUGUCAUCAUAAAGUGAGGAAGACUCUGUUUGAAGAUUUUAUUCACGUAACUUGUGGUUCAAGAGGCGUGAGGAAGCCUCCCAUGUCAGUUUCGCUAUGUCAAAUUUUUCAAGAUAAUGUGCUAAACAUUUUAGGAAAGAAUAUAUUUUCUCCUAGAAGAUUGUGGAGACUAAAUAUACCUUUUUGGUGUACUGAUUUGUUUGGUUAGAUUAAAGAAAAUCCCAUGCUUACUCUGGUUAUAUAAAGGAAGACUCAUACCUUGUGAAGAUUGAUCGAAGCCGUCAUAUAUUGAGAAAAAGACUUAGGGUUUUGUGUCUUGUCUUUGUUAUUUGUAUAACUCUCUUUGUAUCACCUUUAUGCAUUGAGCUAGUUUGUUUAGUUGAGUUGUAUUUUGUUAUUUGUUAACCUCUCUAUUGUAUCUUGCAAGAGUUAGUUUUGUUAAUUGGAGUGGUUCCUAUUUUGAUUGUUAUCGUGAUUAAGACAAUCACAGGGGCAGUGAUUGAGUGAAUAAAGUGAGAUGAGAUCUCAUAUCUAGGGGGAGUCUUAGGUAGAACAGGGGUUGUGAUUAAGACAAUUCACUGGUAGUGAUUAGGUAUCAAGGCAGUGAACAGGGGCUGUUUGCAUAAGACUACGAAUAAGAGUGAAUUUCCUUUCUUGGCAUGGAUGCCUCCAUAUGUAAGUGAUUUUGCAUCGAACUAGGUUACUAAAUCUUCUAUGUUAUUUCCUUCUUGGAAUUUACUUUAGUUGUUGUUUAUUGUGUUAUAUUGUCGUACAUGUUCUCCAGGAGAUCAGUAUUGUCGAACAUGUUGUCCAGGACAUCAGGUAGGACAUCUGUCCAGUGAGUGCCAAAAUUUCAAAUAUAAAGGGUGUGAAUGUUCUCUAAGUCUUCUUGAACGUGAUUGAAGGUUCCGUACAUUAUAGGACAAGUUCUAUCCCUUUUACUUAUCGGGGCUUCCUGUUGGAGCUAACCCGAGGAGAGAGAAUGUAUGGGAGUCUCUUAUAGUAGAUUGUCAAUAGACUUGGGUCGUAGCGCAGCAAAAUUGUAGAUAUGGUGUUGAUCAAUUCAUAUAUAUGGUUUGGAUAGAGAGUGGUGUUGAUGAAUUUGAUUUUGAACUCGACCCCCAUUUUCUUUUUUACUUUUAUGACAUUACUCAUUAAGGUUUUUUUGGGAUGAUGUGUAGGAUGGGUCUAUUUCGUUGAGGGCGAGAUUCCCGAGGGUUUUCCAUAUUUCAACUAAACAAUCCAGAUCAGUGGGAUCUCUAGGCUUAUGGUAAGGUGAUAGGUGGUUGGGAUUUUAGUUGGAGAAGGAGGAUCUUUGUUUCAGAGGAAAACUAUGUAUAAAUUGUGAAUAGUUUUCUUACAAUGAAAUCUAACCCUAAUUCGCUUUACAGUUUAAAAUCAUUAACUUCAUGUAAAUUAUUUUUACUUCGAGAAUUUAUUUUUACAUUAACAUUGGUGUUAUACCAACUAAGUUUUUGUGGACCAUAGUUCUGUAUCAUAAUCGAUAUAACACCAACCUUCAGAGACAUGCGGUGAAUCAAUUUUGAACAUUGUUAUUGUACGAUAUAAUACUUUCCGGUGCUAAUUUGAUUGGGCUAAAUAACCUUCUUUAAGAAAAAAUUGUUAUUCCUUAAAAAAAUAAAAAAAUAAACAAUGCUAUUGAAGAAUAAAGACCCAUAGAAUAGUUGGCAAUCACCCAACUUCAUUCUAAGAUCUGUGAUCACAAUCACAAAACAACAACAUUAAAAGAUACUUAAGAAAUUUAAUACCCUUUUGACUAGGUUGCACACAAUUUUCAUCGUUGAUAAAUUGCAUAUUGCGAAAAAAUAAGGCUCGUUUAAACGAAAAAGAUAUUUAAACACCUCAACUUUUCAUUUUUUUUUUUUAUAAGGCAAGGGCAUAUUGACAUAGAAAAGGGAUCGAAGACACUCCAAUGAAGUUAAGAAGUUUUAUAGAUUCCAAUCCUUGUCAGGUGCUCAUAUAUAUUAUUAAAAAAAGGAAAAAGAAAUACAAAAAAUAUUGGGGCGACAUAAACCUAACCCAUUAAUCCACACACAGCCCAAGCGGGAAAUACAAAAAAUUAAACAACACAAGUGGAUAAGUCUGCCUCUAAUUAAUCCUAAAACUAAUCAAAGGUCAUCAUUGCGGUGAGUGGACCGUCCGUCAACACGAAAGCAGGUCCAUGUACCAUAAACUCCCUGCAUAUCAUAGCAAGCUAAAACGCUCUUUCGAGCCCCAUAGUCCAAGUCAAAUAGCGAAUGCCGAUUUCCAAUGGUGAUACAACUCAAUCCAACUGCCAACACAAUAACAAGUUCGUACACCUACAGUUCACUGUUACCACAACAGUUAAUUUUGAGAGUGGGGAGUGAAUUCGACCGCCAACACGGUAAUUAGAGAAUCCACACACACAACCAGCUUACUACAAUCAUUUAGAGCAAAUUAACAUCCAUUUCUGGCCCAACUGACACGGCAUGGCUACCCACCGGAAAGGCAACAACACCGUUUUUUUGAAUACGUACAAACAGAACCACCGGUGUGAUGGAGGCAACCCAAAUGCCUUGAAAUCUAUAGAUUUCAGCAGAUCUGGAAGAAUAAAAUAUCAAAGGCAAGAAACAACCACCAACACAGUGUCGCCGACAUCAACCUCUUACGAACCAGAACAACGCCAACCCUUUUCGAUAUCUAAAAAGUACAAAAAGCUUGCCAUGAUGGAGAAAGGCCAACAGCAUCUUCAACAGCCCACAGAGGGGUAUUGGUGGUCAUAAAAACAACGGAAACAGACCAUCGUGGCGGAACCGACGGUGGUUGGAGGACCGAAACGAGUUAACAGCCCCAAAACGGUGUUAAACGGCUGUGCGGCCGUAAAGGGCUAGUACACCAACACCAUCGAAGCUACAUCCAAACGACACUUUUGGAUUGUGGAUGGUGGAGGCGGUUUAGUUGUUACAUAGAAGAAGGAGAAGGAGCGUUUUAGCUUUCAUAUACUCAUUCAACAUGCUAUUUUAUUUCUAUCUCUCACUUCCUACCACGUCAGUAAACUAUAACAUCACUCUCUUUUUCUCUGAUUUUUUGUUUUCUAGAAACUGUAGCCAUUAUUUAACAACGCUUCACAUUUAAAUAAAUAAUCGAAACGAGAAUUUUUUCGCAUCUGCCAUCCUAAUCCUUAUGGAAGAAGGGAUGAUCAGAUUUUACACUAUUUAAUUAGUAGACAUGACAAUUACAAGCCAAUUAGAAAAGCUAAACAAGAUCAAAGGUAUAAUUUGACUUCAUAAAAUGAAGGCUUAAUACAUGCUUUGGUCCCUUAACUUAUUUUUAAAUUUCAUUUUGGUCCCUUAACUUUAAACCGUCUCAAUUUGGUCCCAUAACUUUGCCUCCGUUUACCUAAGUGAUCCCUUCUUAAUUAUUAUAUAAAAAAAAAGACUUAAUAUAUGAUUUGGUCCCUUAACUUAUUUUUGAAUUUCAUUUUGGUCCCUUAACUUUAAACCGUCUCAAUUUGGUCCCAUAACUUUACCUCCGUUUACCUAAAUGGUUCCUUCUGUUAAAAAAACUAACAGAAGGGACCACUUAGGUAAACGGAGGUAAAGUUAUGGGACCAAAUUGAGACGGUUUAAAGUUAAGGGACCAAAACGAAAUUCAAAAAUAAGUUAAGGGACCAAAACAUGUAUUAAGCCUAAAAUGAAAUUAAUUGAGUGAGAUGCCAUGAAAAGAUAAUUUGAAACAUGAUCAAUAUCAGUAAAUUACGAAAUCAUGAACAUCCUCACUAUAAUUCGAUUAUUUCAUCCUAAACAAAAAAUCUAAAUUAAACUUUUGAGUUCCAUUUUUAUGGAGCCAUCCUUUUGAACUUCUGACUUAACGUCCCACCGAGUGGACUUUCGUCUCCCUCAAGUGGACGACUUUCUUCAUCCUUUUGAUCACUUUAAACAUCUGAAAAUCGAAAGAAACAUAAGAUAGCCAUAUAUGAACAGUAGAAACUAAUUUUCAGGUAGGUAACUUGUUGGAAAAAUAUCUUUACAAAGGGAAAUUAAAAAUCUAUACCACAAACAACUACCAGAGUUGAAAAACAAAAUAAUGAGUAUCUAUUACGACGGAUAAAUAAAACAAAGUCAUGUGACAAGCAUUCAAUGAAAAAAGAUACAUGAAUCUAAUAUUCAUAUGCUUGUCAGAGAUACAAAAUAGAAUUGUUGCUGCCAAUAUUUUGCACUUGUUGAUUCUACAAGAGGAUAAUUUUUUGUUUUGAUAAAUAAUUACAAAUACUAUUCGAAAGAAUGAUAAGAAAUCACACAAGGAAAAAUGAUAAGAAACCAGCAGCAAGCCAUGGUGGAUAAAAAUUCAACAAAGUUAUUUAGUUUCUUAAAAUCUAAAUACAGAAAGGUUUAACUACGAGUAGAACAUCAAAGAUAAACAAUUAACAUAACCAUAUCUCACAAACAAUGUCAAAGCAAAAAAACAUAAUAACAAGUGUUUACGUCCAAUUCCUUAAAAAAAAAUAAGUGUUUCCGUCCAAUGUAAUUUUAUAGACAAAGGAAACACAUUGAAUCCAAAAAUAUCAUGUUUAUCCCAAAACAAAAUGAAGUAAGUUUGCAUUAAUUUUUGGAUCAUUGGAUACAGUUUCAAAAAUAUUGUUACUCACUUUUGAAUAAGGAAGAUACAAGAUCUUUUUUGUUUUUUUUUUGAAGGAAAACAUGCUUAUAGCAUUUCAUUUAUAAUAAGAGUUUCAAUACAAUUGGGUAUAUUAAAAUAAACGGCGGGACUAGCUAAAGACGUGGCCUCCCUUGCAAGAGCAUGAGCAACCACGUAGGCUUGUCGCCUAACAAACUCCACCCUAGAGUUAGAAAAGAAAGUAAUGAACAAAGAACGACAGGAGGAAAUAAUGCAUCCAAAUUCGGACAAGUCGUUUCUAGUAGAAAGGAAGGCUUCAGCUGUCAACUUAGAGUCUGUUUCAAAAUCCAAAUUGUCAAACUGCAUAUCACUCAACCAUUGCAAAGCAAAGUGCAGCCCUAAAGCUUCACCCACUUCCACCGGAACAGUACAAGGGUAUGUCAUAGUCUUAGCCAGAACAAACGUACCUUCUGCAUCGCGAACACAAAUACCAAUACAUGUACGGUUGACGUGAGAAGAGAAGGCCGCAUCGAUGUUACAUUUGUAUCUUCCGGACACGGGAGGCUGCCACGUGAUUCGGUGUUGUUGAGAGGUGGAGGCCGUUGUUGGUUGAUGAUUCGAUCUAGAUACAAGAACAUCUGGAGCAUUGGCCAGUUGCCAGUCUGUAAGCAUGUUUCUAGCACGCUCAACAACCGUUGCACUUGUUUCUGUUACAUCAUCCCACACUCUGAGAUUGCGGUGCUUCCAUAUACUCCAUAAUACAGAUGGCAUACGUUGUUUUAAUUCAACCGACAAAGUCUCUAACAGAUAAAAUAUAGCUUCCGAAGCUGAGGCAGUGGUAGAAGGGCGUGUUGCACCGAACCCCAAAGACCUGUUCUAUUCCAAACCUGUAUAGAAAAAGGACAAGCAAAGAAAACAUGCAUAAGAUCUUCAUGAUUGGAGGCGCAGCUAGCGCAAUUAGUUGGGCAAGUAACACCUUUAUCCAACAAACGGACAGGAGUCAGUAAACAACCUCGACACAUGCGCCAAAUUAAAUUCUUGACUUUCGGUGGGACUUUUAGAUUCCAAAUACCAAACCAAUACCCCGGUCGCUAGUUAUAAGAUGAAUCAAUCAGUUCUGAUACACAUAACCUGUAAGCACUACGAACAGAGUAACGUCCGUGCCUUUCCGCUUUCCAUAUAAUUCUAUCCUCGUCAACUUGAGAAAUCAAUGGCGUAUGUAGUAUUUUGUUUGCUAUAUCAUCACUAAAAACUUUUCUAACCACCUGUUCAUUCCAGGUUUUUUCAUAUAAAUUCAUCAAGCUGUUAACGGUAAAAUUACGAACAAAGUGAGCACCUGGAAUAUCACUACUAAUAAACUCCCCAUUUGGCAGCCAUGGUUCAUUAAGAAUAGGAAUAGUCGCGCCUGAGCCUACACUCCAUCUAGCGCCCCCACGCACAAUAAAUCUAGCACGCAAGAUGCUGAGCCAAACAUAGCUGGGGUUGUGCCCAACAGUGGCCGUGAGAUAGGAGCUAGAGGGGAAGUAACGAGCUUUAAAAAUUCAAGACACCAGAGAAUCUGGUUAUGUAAUAAAUUUCCAUCCCUGUUUACCUAACAUAGCCAAAUUAAAAGCAGAUAGGUCCUUGAAACCCAUACCUCCGUGAAUCUUUGGUGCUGAAAGCUUCUCCCAAUUCAUCCAAUGAAUUCCUCUUUGUGUUGUUUUACCGUUGCCCCACCAGAAGGAGUUCAUCAUCUUUUCAAUGGAGUCUAGUAAGGUAGUGGGAAGUUGAAAGAUACUCAUCGCAUAAGAAGGAAUAGCCUGCAAAACAGAUUUUAUCAUGACCUCUCGACCUACUUUAGAGAGACACUUACAACUCCAGGAAUUGAUUUUCUGCCAAACACGAUCCUUGAUGUAAGCAAAAGUAGCAUUUCGAUCUCGACCUAUCAUAGAAGGUAAGCCCAAAUAUUUACCUAUGCCCAGCACAAGUUGGACGCCGAGAAUAUCUGUAAUGUUAGCUUUGAGGUCAUCAGGAACAUUACGACUGCAAUAUAUUUCAGACUUUAGUAAACUAAUCGCUUGACCAGAAGCUAAUUCAUAAGUGGAUAGAAUAUGCUUCAUAACAUGUGCUUGAUCCUCGUUAGCUUUGAAAAAGAGAUAACAAUCAUCAGCGAAUAAAAGAUGAGAAACUGACGGUGCUUGACGACAUACCUUUGUACCGGUGAGGACACCUCUUGUCUCGGCAUCUCUGAUAAGCGAAGAUAAACCUUCUGCACAAAUAAUAAUCAAGUACGGAGAGAGAGGAUCCCCUUGACGGAGACCCCGCCCUGGAAUAAUAGGACCGACCUGUGUACCAUUUACAAGCACAGAAUAAUCCACUAAUUCGACGCACAUACACAUCCAAUGAAUCCAACGGUUAUGAAAACCCAUCUUAUUCAAAACAGCCCUCAAAUAAUUCCAGUCCAUACGAUCAUAGGCUUUGCUAAUAUCAAGUUUUAGAGAAACGUAACAUACCUAUCUUCCCCUCGCGUCUUGGCUUUCAUAAAAUGUAAAACCUCAAUUGCUACCAUAGCAUUAUCUAAAAUCGAGCGUUCUGGGACGAAGGCGGAUUGAUUGUCGGAAAUGCAUUUAGGCAGCACUUUCUUCAACCGAUUUGCUAACACUUUCGAAAUGAUUUUGUAUAACACAUUACAAAUUAAAGUGCUAUAGGGCGCCAGUCCUUCAUGCUAACCUGCGUAGAACCUUUUGGGAUAAGGGCAAUGUUAGUAAUAUUCAAAUCUGGGGAAAAUUGUCCCGUAUCUAACCAACCACAGCAUUCUUUAAAAAUAUCAUCACUACAUAAAUUCCAAAAGUGCUGGUAAAAACCAAGAUUGAAGCCAUCUGGGCCUGAACACUUACCUGGAUGCAUAGAGAAGAUAGCAUCCUUAAACUCUACCUUAGAGAUAGGGGCCGUGAGCAUUUCAUUGUCAUUAUCAGAAACAGAUGGAUUAAUAACAUCAAUAACGGAAGAAGAAUCACUAUUCUGUUGUUGAAAAAUAUUUACAAAAUAUUGACUUGCCACUUCUUGCAUAUCCUGCUCAUUAGUAAUUUUAUUACCCGCAUCAUCAUCAAGAGAAGUUAUACGAUUUACCUUCUUUCGAGCCGUAGCCGAAGCGUGAAAAAACUUGGUAUUACGGUCGCCAUCCUUAUACCAAUGGGUUUUUGCGCGUUGACGCCAAUAAGCAUCAUCUUGGGACAGCAGCCGUUGCAUUCUUUUCCUUAGCUCGAACAUGCGAACUUGGUCCUCACCAGCAGAUCCUAACCGAGUUUUCUGCAAUUGUUUGCGACAAUCUUCAAUAUCAGUUUUUAAUUUAUGACAAUGUGAUUUUUUCCAAACAGACAUGACUUCCGCGCAAGAGGAAAGCUUCGAAAUAAUAGUAUGGGUAGAAUAUUCCUGCCAAGAGUUAGUAACAAGAUCCUUAAAACCCGGUUCAAGAUGCCAUGCAUUUUCGUAACGAAAAUGACGUUUAAAGACAUGAGGCCGAGGAGUAGGAGCAACAUUUACAUAUAUGGGAUAAUGAUCAGAAGCAGGUGCUACCAAAGUUUCAACAGUAGCAUUAAGAAAGAUAUUAAACCACAAAUUGUUAGCAAGCGCACGAUCUAAUCUUUCUUCCACGGCACGCGGAGUGCCUAGACUUUUGAACCAAGUAAAUGGAUAACCUUCAAUUGGAACAUCAGACAAACCUGAAUCAAUAACAGCUUGACGAAACCCGUUUAUAAGCCACAGAGGUCUAGUGGUGCGCCCCCUUUUCUCACUUGCAUCAAGGAUAUCAUAAAAAUCGCCAAAGAUACACCAAGGACCUGUAAAUUGAUGAGAAAGUUGUCGAAGAAAAUUCCAAGCGGCAGUUCUACGACCUCCGUUAGGAUAGCCAUAAUAACCGGUAAGUCUCCAAGUACCAAGAACAACAUCAUUUAUCUCAACAAUAAUAUGAUUACUCGAAAAAUCAACAAGUUGACAAUGUAAGGAAUUACGCCAAAAUAGUGCAAGACCCCCGCCUCUACCGGUGCGGUCUACAGGAAAACAACAAUCCUAACCAAGCAGAAAACGAAGUUCUUCAAUUUUAUUUCGGUGAGCUAAAGUCUCACUUAAAAAUAAAAGGUCCGGAUUGAAAUGCCGAACUAGGUAUUUAAGGUCUGGAAUUGCACUCGGGCUACCUACACCCCGAUAAUUCCACGCCACUAGACUCAUAUUCUUUGGCAGGCCUUAUAGAAGAAAACAAAUUGAUGAUGAAGAACUCAUAUAAGGAACAGUAUCACAGGAAUGGCAUAAAGCAGAGCAAAUGUUCAGGUAAGGCAUGACCUACCGAACAACAACAACACACUCACGAGGGAUGAACAGCGGCGAAGCUACUAACCCUAGGAGAGAAGGCAAUCAUAAAAAUACACGUUCUACCAAAAAGAUAAAAUUCUUGAAUUCAAAGGAUGUAUCCUACAUUUUGAUAUAAAAGUACUAAAUUCCUAAUUCAAUUGGAAUUACUAUGGCAAGAUGGAGAAGAUGCACAAAGAAUACUAUAUGUGAAGGGGAAAACAAUCGAUGGAGAGAUCUAACCCAUAUUAACAUAUGAAGCAACGCCACAUGAAUAAUGAGUAGGUUGAAUGAUAAAUACAAAUUGAUCUUGGAGUCCAAAUUGCCGAACAGAACAAGGGAUACGGUGGGAGCACGGCGGCAGCUUUAGACUUUCAUCGAUCCCGUAAGCUUUUGUUGAACAGAUAUAGUAGCAAAGAAAAGGAAGGCAGGUUUAGACUUUCAUCCCGUAAACUGAAUGAAACAUAAGGAAGAUACAAGAUCUUGAAAAUUUAUUGUGACUGUAUCAAUAUCUUGUGUUAUAGAGAUUAGGCAUUUUCAAUUAGCUAUUUUCAAUUAAAACAAGGUGAUCUUAUUUUUCAGCAUUUAAUUAGUCUACUUGACAUUUACUAGCCAGCGUAAAAAAAAAAAAGAGAGACUUUUACUUGCUACUCAGAAAAGCAAAACAAAGUCAGCAGCAAAAUUUGAACCAAAACAACAACCAUAUAAAUGAUAAUUUUAUAGUUGAUCAAUAUCAAUAAAGAUCAACACCUUGAAUUUUAGUACUAGAUUUCGAUGAUUUACCUUAAACAUAAACAAAAAAUCUAAAGAAGAUUUUUUGGUACCGUUUUUACGGAACCAACAAACUACAUUGACGGCGACAUUCAAACUCCUAGAUUAGGUUUAGAUUUUUUUUAGCCAAAAAGACAGCAAUGGCGGCUGAACAGCUUCUUGAACACUUCAAAUGUCUGAUUUCACUUGAAAUCAUGUCCGAUCCCAUUAUCCUCUCAUCUGAUCAGACCUUUGACCAUUCCGUUUAUUCUUAGCAUGCAUCACAUAGUGUAUGAUGAUGGUAUAUGUACAGUAAUGUUGCUCAGUAUAUGGACAAUAAUAAGACUGUAACAAAAAUAAAACACAGUCAAGUGAUAGACAUUCAAAGAAAAUGAUACAUUGGUGGAGAGUAUUCAAAAAAUUAUUUCCUUGAAUGAAACUAAUUAAUUUGCUCUCUAUGUCAGAUAUAUAAGUAGAAUUGUUGCUGCAAAUAUUUUCACUACGGUACUGCUGCAAGAGGAUAAUUUUUUAUUUUAUUUUUAUUAGAAUUAAAAAUACUAUUUGAAAGAAGGAUAAAAAUGAUACGAAAAGAAAACACUAGAAAACAGUAGUGGACGAAAAUUCAACAAUAUUACUUAGUUUCUAAACAUCACAAUAUAUGCAGACUCAUGGAAAAGCUUUAAAAUAGGGGAAAAUUCACACAAACUUUUGUCAUAGCAUAGCUCAGUUUCACAUUAAUAAUUACAUUCCCUCAACAAAGUAAUAGUGGCGUGAUUUUCCUAUUCACUUCCAACCACUUACAUUAUUGCAUGUCGCGUUAUAUCAGUCUAUGAUAUACAUAAAUCAUUACAUAAUCGUAUUUUAACUGCGAAGUAUGUGUAUGGAUGACCUUUUGAGAUUCUACGUGUCCUAUAAAUGUAUUUAGCUAUAGUAUUGCAAUGGAACGAAAAGCCAAGAUUUGCCAUCUUUUCCCUGCAGCUUCUACAAAAGCCUAUGUUUGCAUCUGCAUCUGCUUCUGCAGCCUCAGCCUCCUCUAUUGCCUCUUCUCUUGACUUGAUGUGGUAUUGUUGUCGAAUGUAUGCCUAACUUUAGGCGUUGAUCAUUAUUUAUUAGAUAGAUGGUUGAUUCUACGCUACAUUGGAAAUAUUAAUUAUAGUAUUGAACCCUUUGUGUUGUUGAUAUGAGUUGAAUCAAGUUGUGGGACACUAUUGAGUUGGGAAUGUCGAAUGUAAUGUUACUAAGUUGUUGCCAACGUUGCCAAAUCAUAUUCAUCCAUUUCUCUGCUCUCUCACUCGUGUCUCUAGUUACUUUCCUUCGUUUAUUCUGACGUUGAUACUGAUUUAAAUCUGAUGCAGAUCUCAAGUAUCUAUUGCAACAGCAAUAAUCUUUUGUCAUAGAUUCUUUCUUCGGCAAUCCCAUGCAAAGAAUGACAGAAGGGUAAUUGUUAUCUCAUGCCUCUUGUGCACACAAGGAGAUUCUCGGACUGUGUAGUGCUACAUGUCUCCCUUCCAACAUGGGUGAUGGUCUUCCUCAUGCUGAGGUAGGUGCAAUCCUGUUUCACCUGAAAUAUAUAACUCAACCCAUGAGUAUGAUCUCAAAUUGAAACCAUUAAAUGUAUAACACUAAAUGAAGAAAAAAUGUUGAUUCCUAAAAUAUUAUAAAGAACAUAAGAUAUUUUUGAUUCAGGUCAGAAAAUACAAAUUUUGUCCAAGUCUACACUAUAAAAGGAUUAUUUUCAUUUUAACUCAACAUCUUUAAUUUUUCUUUGCAGUCUCUCUCCAAAUCUUUUCCCUGAGAUUUUUUUAAUUUAGCUAUUGCCUAAUAAAUUUGAAGAGUUUAAAUGUCAAUUAACCCUAAACAUAAAUAUAAUAUCUAAAGAAGAUUUUAAAAUACUAUUUUUUAAAAGCCAUUAUUUUGAGAGUUCACCUUGUUUAAUCAAAGAAAUCAUACUUGAUCUUGAAAGUGGUUUGUAGAUGACAACAGGAAAUCGAAAUCAUUAUCAAGUAAUAGCAUCCGAUCUCUAUAAUGAAGCUGCAACAAUUUUAGCAGAAAUUGGAAGAAAAUCGAUUACAAAUAAAAAUAAAUACGUGCAAGAAAAAUAAUUGAGGAAAGUGGAAUUAGAUCUGAUUUAAGGCAUACCUGUGGGUAGUUAAACAUACCAAGGGGUCGCUCAUGGCAGCUAUUUGUCUACAUUUGAUGGAAUGGAAGGAAUAACAAAAAGUGAAAGUAAUAAUAAUUUUUGAGAGGGUUAGGGAUAGCAGCCGAAGAUAAUAAUGAGAGAGUGAGUAGCAGCUGCAAGUGAAAAGGGUUACUUUGAAAACCCUAAUUAUCUAUUAUAUAUAAGAGUCAUGAUUGCACAGUAUCCAAUUGGGCUACUUGUUUGUUAUGGAUUCUGAUUUUGUUGGGUUGGGCCAGAAAGCCUUAUUUAAAUAUGGAACAUUAUAACAUGCACCGCUACACUUAUACUUCCACCUCUAUAAAGAACAAAGCAUAAAAUAUCCACUUUAUUCCUCUUGUCAUUAGACUUCACCCCACAAAACAUUUUCUAUGCCGUUUUUUUUUUCUUCAUGAAUUGAAUAAAUGACAAUCAAAUUUAUAAAUUGGAAAAUAGAGAACAAGUGUUCCAAAAAGCCUCAUCAAAUGCACCGUUUUACUUACCAAUAAAAAAUAAAAUAAAAAAUAAAAAUAACAAAAUUAAAAUAAUGAUAAAAUACAAGCACGGUCUAGAAGCUACCACAUAUUUCCUUCAUUCAUUUUCCCUUCCCCUUUCUACUUUGCUCUCAUUCCUUCUCUCUGUUCCUCACAUUUUCCAAAUUUAUAUUCUUCAAAUCAUCACAAUUUAACCAAAUCAAACACCCACAUGAAAACUAUACAUCUAAUCAAAGCUAUUUCAUAUUGCAAGCUCUCAUGGUAGAAUUUUGGGGGUUAGGGUGUGUGCUUUGAGGAAGAAGAAUAUUCAUAUUGUAAAAGGUUCUCAUUGAGACUUCUUGAAGGUAUAUUUAUCAAUUUACAACUCAAUUAGUGUAUAUUUACGCAUGAUUACUGUUAGAAAUUAAUUAUUGAGAUUAGAGUAGAUGAAAUGGGGAUUUUAUCGUUAACAUUGUUAGAGAAGUAGUAGAAUGAGUUUCUAAUUCAUGAGAAAAUAUUAUUGAUGAUCAGAUAUGACGCAAGACGUUUCAGAUGCUUCUUUUGGAGUGGUUAGAGAGCAAACUUAGCUGAUUCGUCAUAACACUGAGUUGAUAACGAUCAUUAUCGCAUAUUUUCCCUAUUAAUAUUAUUGAUAUUUUGAUAAUUUUCUAUGUAAAAGUNNNNNNNNNNNNNNNNNNNNNNNNNNNNNNNNNNNNNNNNNNNNNNNNNNNNNNNNNNNNNNNNNNNNNNNNNNNNNNNNNNNNNNNNNNNNNNNNNNNNCUUAGAGAGUAUUGAGCAUUUGUAAUCUUUGUGAUUAUAGUGAAAUCUCCUUGGAAGUGCAAGGGGGACUGGACUACUUCCGAUUUGUAGAAGGAACCAGAAUAACUGCUUGUGUCUUGCUUUUCUUUUCUCUGCUUUGAUCUUUUCCGCUACAUAUCUGAUUCUGAUCAUUUCAUUAGAAGCAUUCACAAACUGCUUCUGAAGUUUUAUCAGAAGAAGUAUUUUUUAGAGAGAAAAAGAAAACACAAUUGAACCCCCCCCCCUUCUUGUGUUUUUCACACCUUCAGAUUCAUAAUUAGGAAAGAUGGUUGAAUUCAUGUUUGGUGAAAAUAGACAUGAGGUGUGUUGUGCCUUUAAAAAAGGGUUUCACGAGAAGAAAAUAGAAAGCGGUAGUGUGAUGCAUCCGUUAUGAAACAUGGCAUCCAUGGAAGAUUGAGAGAAAAGCAACUAACUCUUUGUAUAGAUGGAAAGAGUGUUACAAAUGAUGAAAAUUUACCCACUAAUCCCCCCCCCCCCCCCCACCCUUCUCAAGUUGGAAUGUUUUGACAACACUUCCAACUUGGGAUGAGAAAUACACAAUACAUCGAGCAAAUGAAAAUGCAAAGAGAAAUGCCGGAAAUACAUUGGUUGUGUAUUUAAUUCUUGAUUUAUCCGUAGGAAUUAAGAAAAGAACAUAAUUUGAUAGUUUUUUUUUACAAGGCCAAGAGAAAGGUUGGGCAUCCGGGAGAGUCUGAAGCAUCCCAACUAGGUUGGGAUGCUUCAUAUACCCCCAUCCUCUAUCGCCUUUCAAAUACGUAAAUUUUAUUAAAAAAAUGGAAAAAAAAAUUACAAUGAGGGGGGACUAAACCAAUACCCUUGAAAGAAAAUAAAUAUUUACAGAAAACUAGAAACAAAAAUAGCUAAGGAAAUAUGGCGUUCGGCAUCCCAUAUCUGUUCCUAUCAAAAUCUGCUCCCAAAAGAGGGAGGCAACAGAGUAAACCACAAAGUGUCUUGAAAACAUGCCCCAAGGCUGCUGGGCCAUUGUGAACCAUUGUUGUCUGGACCACACAAGAGGAAUCCCCCUGAUAUUCCAAUAAAUAAUAUUCAUUUAAACGGUGGUCGGGGACUUGUGUGAAUUGCAUUAAGGGUAAGCAAUCUAACAAGCUCAAAAGGGGUGCAUAAAGGAGUUCUAACCUAUUAGAAAUCAUAGAUACAGAUAUUUGUUGUCCAGACAUGGACGUAAGUAGUACGAAAUACUUUAUCACCUUUAUAGAUGAUUAUUCAUAGUAUAUGGGUAACGUCAUGUUUCUAUUAAAGUGAUAAAAUACACGAAUAAAGCAUAUAUUUAAGAAAUAGACGCUACAUCUUCAACAAAAACAUCAACAUGCAUACAUAAAAUUUUUCAACAGUCGCAGCGGAUAUAAAUCAUACAUCUCUAAUGUAUACAUGUCAUGAGAUCAAUAUACAUCAUCAUAUAAAUUCUCUAAAUCCUGACAUAUGGGUAAAAUCUCAAUAAUAAAUAAAUCCAACAAAGACAUAAAGACCAACGUUCUAAUCAGAGCCUAAUCUAAGACUCCAAGAACGAUAACGGAGAUUAGCUUCCGCUAUCCAAGCACUCAUCAAAAACAAACUACUCCUGCACUCCGUCUACACAUUCAUACAAACAGGUAGGCGGUUGAAACCACUGGAAAUAAGCUUCACAUCAAUCAUAAUCAACAAAAUAGAUUUGAACAUAAAUAAAUCAAUUCAAGUUCCAAUUAAUUAACAUGAAUAUUCAACUUCAAUAAUACUUCAUAAUAAUACUUCCAAAUAUCACAACCAAUUACUCACAUCCAUAAGCAUAUCAAAUAUUUUCACAAUUAGGACUCAUGCCACAACGUGGUAUGUUCCUAGACACGACACCUAAAUGCAUGCCGUACCGACAUCAACAAUGUCUAGGCCGUCACCCCAUGAUGCCAACUGAACAUCACAAUCACCUCAAUUGGAUAUAAAAUCCGUCACCAUCAGUCAUGAAUGCAUGAACAUAUGACUCAACAACAAAUGCAUAUGUUCACACAAACAAUUCAGCACAUCCUCAUCAAAUAUUUAGCAUAUAUGUAUUCACCAACAAUUCACCAUUAUUUGACAUAUAUGCAAUCACCAACAACAUCUCAAUCACUCAACAUAUAUGUAUUCACCAACAAUAUCACAAUCAAUCAACAUAUAUGUAUUCACUAAUACCAACUUCAUCACAUAAUUCCAUAUCCAUACAUGAUUUUCCACAUUCCAAGUGAAGGAGAAAAUACAACACCCUAUGAUAAACAUCAUAUUCAAUGCCUAACAACUAUUCACAUAUCUUCACUUAAUCAAAUAAAGCUAAUCACAAAAGGUUCAUAAGGUAACCGGCUUAAGAGAAUCAUUUUCAACAAAGUUCGUAUCAAGUGGCAAACGGCCAACAUUGAUAAUUUUCAAAGCAAGGUAACUUGUUCAAGUUUGGAAACCUACAAUUCAAUCUUAAUCAAUCAUAUAAAUAUGAGCAUAGGCCACUUACGAACUAUCAAGCAUUAGUUCAAAGAUUUGCCUAAGUUCGUAUCAGAAAACCCCAAGUUCACAUAUUCCACAAUCCCACCCGAAAAUCAAGUUUGAUAUGAUUAAGACAUUAAACCAUCCUUACAUGCCUUGUCUAAGUCUAUAUGAACUGUAGACCAAGCUUGUAGUUAUCUUAAUGCACAAAAUUUCAUUUUUCGACAAAUCCGAAAAUAUCAAAAGUUCAAGUUUCAAACCAUUUAGAAAUUCCCAAGUUUGGAUAAGUAAAACAUGUUUCAGUAAAUAAAGGAGUAUAAACAGUGAUUAAACAAGUUGUUGAAAUUGGGCUCGUUCGCUUAAGCAUCCAUCUGUUCGCUUAAGCGACCAAGCUCCAGAAGCUUACAGUAGCUGUUCGCUUACCGUUCGCUUAAGCAACCAAGUUCCAGAAACUUUCUGUUGCUAUUAGCUUACCGUUCGCUUAAGCGAACAGUCAUCAGUUCUGCAGAAAAACUUUCGGGUUUCAACCCUUUUUCAUCCUAAAACCCAAAUUUUGAUCUCCCAAUACCCAAAUUCGUUUUCAAAGGUUGUUUACAGGUUCAUGUACUCAAAAGGGCUUCCAAAAACAAUUCAAACAUGAAAUCAAAAACCAUUUCAAACACAAUUCAUUAAAUCAACCCAUUUCUACAAAAACCUUCAACAACAACUCAAUUCAUACAACCUGACCGAAUUUAUGAACACCCAAGAUGUGAAUAAUCAACAACAACAUCUCAUAACAACAACAACAUCAAUUAAACAUGGAUCCACCACAAAUCAACAACAACAUAGCACAAUUCAACAAUUAGAGCACAAUUUACAAUAUACUCAUUUUCACAUAUCAUGAACAUACAAUUUCAUCAACAACAAUUAAAUUAUCAUCAAAUUCAUAUACUCAAACAUAUCAUCAUAACAAGAGCAUGAAUUUCAACAACUAAGUGCAAAAUAAUCACUUAUUCAAAUAAGCACUUAUGCAUAGAAUUUGGGAAGAAAUUAAGCUAAGAGAUUAUGAUUGAAAUCUAACCCCCUUACCUCAAUAAGCAAUAAUCCUAGCAAAAGCUUCAAUUUAGCUCCUAGAAUCUCUAUCACCUCUUAGUUCUUCAAGCUUUCUCCCUUCUAACCCUUUUGCUCAUUCUCUUGAACUUUCUCUCUCUACCUCUCUCAAAUUCUUAUGAAAUGAAAUGAAAAUCUAUUUUUCUCUAAAGACUAGAACUUAUAUAGGCUCCUCUCAAAUGGGUUUAACCCUCAAUGCCUUAAUGGGCUCAACUCACUCAAUAACUAAUUCAGGAAUGUUUCUACUCACUUAACGGUAAAAUAAUAAUAACGAUAGCUUACCGACUCGCAACUAAUUACCACGCUAGAAACUUAGUAAAAUAAUGGUUAAUACUAUUAUCUUGUUUUGAAAUAUAAAAAGUCAAAUUUAAUACAAAUACAAACAAAGGAUAAUUUCUUAAUAUUAACACACAAAACUGACACAUUAAUUACACAGACAACUUUUCUUAAAAAAUGUGAAAAAGGAAAUGGGUGUCUACAUUAAGGGACGGAUGGAGUAUUUUCAAUGACCAAACAUGGUGUUGAUUCAACAUCAAUCUUAUGCAAUUUUAACCUGAACUAAAAACUAAAAAAAAAAAAAAAAACAGUCUUGACCAAGUACAUAUUAACAGACUGAAUUGAUGGGUAAUGAUAAGAGAUCUUUGACUAAAUUUUCAUGAAAACCGGUCUUCUGCUCAGGCAGAAACUCGCGCCUAUUUUACAUCAGAACAUGCAGAAACUUCUAACAUUGUGUUUAAAAACUCAAAUUUUAUCAAACUUAACCAAAUCAACUUCAACUUCCACUUCAAUUACAAGUAAGUGUUUAUGAUCCUUUUGCACUUUUUUUUAUUUUGUUUAAAUAUUUAAUUUUUUUUAUGAAAGUUGUGAAAUGUUAGGUUUUAUGGUUGAUGAAACUGUUAGAUUUUUUGCAUGUUAAUGAUGAAAUUAUUUAGAAAUUGGAUUGUUAAUGUUGAUUAUAGUAAGUUUGAGUGCAAUGUCGUAAUUUAGAGAUUGGAAUGAGACAAUAACCUCAUAAUUUUUAUGUUGAGCUAUAGCUGUUUGAUAAAAUGUCUCUAUGAAAAAUUAAUUGAUUUUUUGCAUUGUUUUAUGUUGCGUAGAUAUGUCUGGCAACCCAAACAGGCAGAGACUCAGCAAGGAGACGAUGACGAGGAGUGCACGGGCAGAGAGGCAGGUUGCGCACCCUUUUAUUAGGAAGGGACGCGGCGGCGAGUGUAGGAUUGGGGAGGGGUCGUCGUCCCAGACGCGUCCGUCAUAGAUAGUGGACCCUACACAACAUCAUCAUGAGGAGGAAAGCAAUUUUCAUUUUUCAUUGUUUGGGUUCCCAUUAUCUUUUAUAGAUUAUUUGACUAAUUGAUUUAUCCUAUUUAUUUUUUUAAAUAAUUUAACAAAUAUACUGUUUAAUCACUGUUGUAAAAUAGAAGCACGGGUCUAAAGAGGGUCAAUUGAAUAAACUAUACUAUUAUGAGAUAAAGCAGUGUGAUCUUCUUUUGAUUAGAAAAAUGAAUGCCAAAGCACCUUUAAAGACCGAUGAUUGGCCAUCACAUUCCCACACACAGUUGCCAUCUUUACUAAUCCAAAACUUCACUUCAUAAUAAAUUUUUCCACUUUUGAAGCACUAAUUCUGUGAUUUAAACAUGGUUUGCAGUGAAAAAGGGAUACCUCAACUGUUGCUUCUCUUCACACACUUCAGCUUGUUUUGGUGGAUUACUAGUACUUCUAUCUAUGUCAAAGCAGAAAAUAUUGAUAGUAUGAAGCCAGGAGAUAAACUGAAUGCCACAUCCGAUUUGUGUUCUAAACAAGGUAGAUAUUGCAUGAAUUUUAACCAAACUACGCAAUCUGAAAAUCUCACUUAUCUCAGCAUAGUUGCCAAAGGUACUACUUGGGUGGUGUGGAUUGCUAACAGAAACCAACUUGUUGACAAAAAUUCAGCUGUUCUAUCACUAGACUACUCUGGUGUGCUCAAAAUAGAAUCCAAAAUCGGUGAACCAAUAAUCCUGUAUUCUUCACCUCAACCUUUAAACAAUAGUACUAUUGUUGCCACCUUGUUAGAUAAAGGUGACUUUGUGUUGAAAGAUAUUGAGAAGAACAUUGUUUUGUGGCAAAGUUUUGAUCAUCCAACUGAUAGUUGGCUUCCUGAGAUGAAACUAGGUGUGAAUCGUAAAACUGGUGAAAACUGGUCACUGGUUUCAUACAUUAGUGGUUCAAUCCCAGCUUCUGGUCCAUUCAGGCUUGAGUGGGAACCCACAAUAAAAGAAUUGGUCAUCAAGCAUAGAGAAAAAGUAUAUUGGACAAGUGGAAAACUGAUGAAAAACAAUAGAUUUGAGAAUAUACGUGGAGAAGAAUUUGAGGUCAAAGAUUUUGAGGUCACAUAUAAAACUCCAAAUGAAGAACUUACUAUAUGGACUCUAUUGGAAACUGGGCAACUGAUAAACAGAGGAGGAGUUGACAUAGCAAGAGCUGAUAUAUGUUAUGGGUAUAACACUAAUGGAGGGUGCCAAAAGUGGCGUGAUGUGGAGAUACCUGCUUGCAGGAAUCCUGGUGAUAUGUUUGAUAGCAAGUUAGGAUUCAGUAAUAAAGAUAUGUUAUACAAUAUAGAAAAUGCUAGUUAUGGCAUAAGUGAUUGCCAAGAUAUGUGCUGGAGUAACUGCAGCUGCUUUGGAUUCAAACCUUUUUAUGAUAAUCGAACUGGUUGUGUAAUCUUGGUAUCAAGUAAUGGUUUUAACGCUGCAGGCAUUGGUUUUGACUCAUUUUACAUUCUGGAUAAGAACACUGGUCACAAAGGUAUGUAUAUCUCUUAACUACUAGUACUAUAUUGCAAUUAUUAUUUUUCCCAUGACUGACUAGCAGCUGGCCUACCAGAAGAGCAAGUGAAUAAGGAAUGGUUAUUAAAAUUAGCUACAAUUAUUGUAUUUGAUCACAAGAACAUUUUUGCAUUUUUGUAGUAAUAAGAACAAAACAAGUAAUUCAUUGAAAUAGAAACUCAAAUCAGUUCCUUGUUUUAGUAUCGAACAAGUGGCUAUUGAUUUGCACUGGAUUGGGGACUCUUCUGCUAUUUAUGGGCCUUUCCAUUCUGCUCCGAGCUUUAAUGAGACGAAAACAUGUGCUUCGAGGUAUUUACGUUUUAUCAAAUAUUAUAUUUAGUACCUAAUUGUAACAAUCCCUUAAUAUUUCAUUUUUCACCUUUAUAUAUAUAAACAGAGAAUGAACGAAUAAGAAUGCAGAUUGAGAUUCAAGAUCUUGAAGGUUCUAGGCGAGACUCUGAUAGCGAUGAUCUAGAAGGCAAUUUCAGCAGUGGAGAUGACUUAAAAGUGUUUAGCUAUUCAUCAAUAAUUGUGGCCACCAAUGGCUUUUCUUCUGAAAACAAGUUAGGACAAGGUGGCUUUGAACCUGUUUUUAAGGUGACCCUUUUUUAGUUUAUCAGUGAUAAAAUAACUGCACAUAACUGCACGAUUAAAUAGUUGAGAUUAUGCAUUCAUCCAUUUUAUUAAUUUUUUUUUUAUAUUCAAUUCAGGGAAUUCUACCUUCAGGGCAAGAAGUAGCUGUGAAGAAACUUUCAAAAACUUCUGGACAAGGAAUGACUGAGUUUAGAAAUGAAUUAACACUCAUUAGUAAGCUUCAGCAUACGAAUCUUGUUCGGCUAAUCGGACAUUGCAUUCAUGAACAUGAGCGUAUAUUGAUCUAUGAGUAUAUGCCCAACAAAAGCUUGGACUUCUUUUUAUUUGGUGAGAUAUAUUAAUUGCUACAGUCUCUUAAGGUUUGUUUAUGGAAUAUUUAAGUGUGUCUAAAGAAUAAUGAGGAUGUCAUCUGUUUCCUUAUAUAUUCUAUAUUAUGAUAAAUCUUUCAUUUCAGAUAAUUGAUAUUAAGAAGAGUAAUUUAAGUUUCUUGAUAUUAAGAAGAGCAAUUUAAGUUUCUUGAUGUAGAGAACUAAAUGUUAUUAAUAUAUACAAGUAAUGUUACCUAUUUUGUCUAUCUAACAUAUUUGAUGGUUCUUUAUAUUUAUUUUAAUACUUCUUCUCAUGGCAUUGUAUUUUUUUCUUUUGUGUGAGAAGAUUCCACCAGAAGAAAGUUGCUAGAUUGGAACAAACGUUUUAGCAUAAUAGAAGGAAUUGCUCAAGGAUUACUUUACCUUCACAAAUACUCAAGACUCCGAAUUAUCCACAGAGAUUUGAAGGCUAGUAAUAUUCUCCUUGAUGAAAAUAUGAACCCAAAAAUUUCUGAUUUUGGUGUGGCAAGAAUGUUCACAAGACAAGAAACCAAAGCAAAUACCAAUAGAAUU
rnacentral:lncRNA from 1 species